rnacentral:lncRNA from 1 species
GUGGAAUUGGAUCAUCUCGAGGAGUGGAUAUUCGCAGAUGACAUCGCUGUUGAGCACGAAAAAGGGUUUGCCUGAUUCGUCGAUGAGCUUGUCCCGAGCCAAAGCGAGAGGCCCUGCUGUCCCGAGGGGUUCGGUUUCUUGAGAAAAGGUGAUCUUCAUAUCAAGCUUCUUCUCAUAUUCUUUCACAAAAUUCAACAUGACCUUAAAAUAAAUAACAAAGAAAAUGAGAAUCAUCACUACGCAAAGGGUAAAUAAAUAAUGAAGGUAGUAGUUACCUCUGGUUGUUGGUGGUUGAUAGCUAAUACAACUUCAGUAACACCAGCAGCUUUUACUGCUUCAAUCUGUUUAAUAAUCAUUUAAAAAAAAGUAUGAUUCAUGAGAAUGAAUGUAUCAUCCCGAAUCAAUCACGAACCGACAUACUUUUCCUUUGAUUGUGCAAGUAGAGCUGAAUAAUGACGUUCUUUGCCACGCUUCACUUGUUUUUGGAGCAAAGCAAUUUCUUCGUAUCAUGAGGAAAGUUUCCGUAUCUCCGGUGACUUGGUCCUCCUCCACAUCAUUGAACUGGUCGUCUUCUUCAUCAUAAAUAGGAUCGCCGUCAAGUUCUUUAUCUGUAGCCAGUAACCCUCUGCGGCCACGAUUUGGGCAGGCUGUUUGAAUAUGACCCCUUUCCCCACACGUAAAACACCUUAGAGCAUUAGGGCGAGAAGGCCGUGCGUCUGCUUGCUCGUCAGCGUGUGUAGUGGUUUUGGAACCCGAAGUCGUUGUUGCUGUUUGAGUCGUCGCAGAUUUGGUGUCAUCAGAUGUUGUUGUGUUACGAGGGCGUGUGUUGCCUGUCCAUUGGUUGGUGCUGGCACGAGUUUGCUGCUCGACAAGUAAUGCUCGUUGGCGUGCUUCAGAGACAGAACACGGAUCAAACUGAUGAAGCAUAUUCUGUAGUUGUGGUCGUAGGCCUGCAAUAAAGCGAGCUACCAACUGAUCUUCAGAAUCUUGAAUGUCGACUCUUGUCAACAUCUGGUAGAACUCGUUAGCAUAAUCUUCCACGGAGCGUGAACCUUGCCGUAUAUUGUGGAAUUUCUGAAAAAGAAGACGCUCAAAAUUGUACGGAAUGAAUGUCUUGCGCAUAUGUUUCUUUAACUUGUCCCACGAUGUGAUUUUAUCUUUCCCUCGUCGUGUACGCGAGAGUUUAAGUUGGUUCCACCAUGAGGCGGCAUGUCCACGAAAACGCGUUGUGAUGAGCGGAACUCUCUUCUGUUCUGGUACGUCUUUGAACUCGAGGAAUUCAUCGACGGUUACAAACCAAUCGAGUAGCUCUUCCGGUUGUGAUCCUCCUUUAAACUCAGGGAUUUCAAUCUUAAUACCCGAAGUCCAACAAGGAUCGUCGUCGUUCUGUCGUUGCCUCUGAUGGUGGUGAUGACGCUGCUGAUCUCCAAAAGGAUUCUCUAUGUCGUCAUCUUCCUGUUCCUCAAAGAUAGGGUUGUUGUUGCGUCGCUGUCGUUGAGGAGGUGGCGCGUUUGCUACGUUAGCUGCUAGUGCAGCCUGAACUCCGGCUUGAACUCCUGCCUGACUUGAUUCAGCCAAGGUUCUGCGGAUUUCAUCAUGAAAGUUUUCUUGAAAAUCUUCCAAGAAUUGUUGUAAGUGUGUCCAGUCGUUAGCUGGUUCUUUGCCUGCUCGAGGAGCCAUCACAAGAUCGAAACAAUCGAACAAAGUCGAAGUUCCAAGUCUCUGAUACCAAUUAACGGAGCGGAAGUACCGUUUAGUAACCGAUAACACGAUGAUCCUAUUUAGUCUGCGAAUGCCUAAGAUCAAAGUCUUCGUGUGAUCGUUGAGAACACCUAUGUUCUAGCCGAUUGCAAGGAUAAGAGAUGUUUGUAAAACAAAGCUCUAAGUUUUAUAAAAUAUUAAUCAAGUUGUGUCUCUUACAAAUCAAGAGAUCACUAUAUAUAAUAAUAUGAAAAGUCCUAAGUCCUUAGGAAUUAGAAUCUAAUCUUCUAUCCUUAAGUCUUAAUCCUAAUCAAAUAAGGAAAAACUAAUGUUUAUCUAAAACAAAAUAGAAAUCAAAUGAUAGAAGAAUAAGGAUGUACGCUACAUCAAGAAGCUACCACCACCUACCUGAUGCAAAAUCAUGGGCUUGUUACCAAAAUCAACAAGGGGUUUUGGCAUGCUGAACGUAAGCUGUCUCAAUCGAGUUCCAAAUCCUCCAACUAGAAUAAGAUCCUUCAUUCUGCUAGAAAUAUAAUGUAAAUCAACAAGAAUUGUGCAACAGGGUACUACCUAGAUUUUCUGAAAAAAGGAAAAUCUUCAAUCUCUUUUAAACUAUACUAGGUAAGGAACCCGUGCGAUACCGCACGGGAAUUCAUUUUUUUAAAACAAAUUCCAAAUUAUAUAAUUGCUUUUGGAGAAAUAUUAAAAACUAUAUUUUGUUUAUAGGUUGACUGUAUUAAAAUUACAAAUAUGUUAAUACUAUAUAAGAUAUAUGUCUUAUUAUCUGUUUAUCUAAAUGAUUUAGGAAUCUCGAAAAAACUAACACUAAUUAAUAGUAAGCACAUUCCAAUCUAAUUGUUUUACUAAAUUAAAAAAGGUAGCUUAUAACGACUAAUCGAAGAAUUUUUUUCUAAUAUAAGAAAAUUAAAACUAAGAAUUUCAUUAUUUCAUUUUUAUAUUAUAUUUUGCUAUCCAAAUCCGAAUGACCCUUCUUAACAUCCAACGGUUACAAUAUUUCAUUUGAAAAUAUUCUAAGAAUUUGCAGUUAGGUACCUGCAUACAACUUUUUCUAUUCAAUAUUUUAAUAAAUUUUUGAAAGAUUUACAAUAAAAAAUAUGUACAUGACCUAUUUAUAUAUUUUCAAAGAACUAUACGAAUAGUCAUAAUUUUUAAAUUAGAUAUAGUUAUUAUCUUAAAUAGUAAACUUACAAUAUAUUUGAAUAGACACAUUAUUACAAAAGUCACCUUGUUGCGUAAUGAAAAGACACAGCUCUUUAAUUUUUAGAAUGAGUUUUAAGGAUAUUUUAACUACUUUUUAAAGUUAAUUAAAAAACACAACUCUUAGAACUAAUAAAUUUUAGAGAUGAUGCUUGAAAAGCACAUAUAAUUUGACAACUUAUUAAUGCAACUUUUAGGAUGAAAUAACAUAACCUAAUGAAAAGACACAAUUCCUUAGUUUUUAGAAAGACAAUUUUGGAAUAUUUUAACUACUAUUUUUUAAACUAACUAAAAAGACACCAUUCUUAAAACUAAUGCAUUUUAGAGAUGAUAUUGAGAAAUAUAUAUAUAUAUAUAUAUAUAUAUAUAUAUAUAUAAUUUUAGUUUUUUUAAUUAUGAUUUCCAAUUCUCAUAACCUCUUAUGCAGAGAGUUAAAAAUUACAAUGGUUAACAAACAAGCAUUACAAUGAUUAACUAAGAGUUAUAAUUGUUGACACUAAAAUUUACUAUAGUUCAUCACCAAAAUAUAUAAAUACAACAGAUGCAAUGAUUUAUCAAAGAUAAAAUAGUUCAUCACCAAAAUAUUGUAAUAGUUUAUAAAUAUAUGAAAUUAUAAAAGAAUUAAAAAUUACAAUGAAUUACUUUUAGAAAUGUACUAUUAUAUUCUCUCGAAAAUCUAUAUGAAUAGCCAUUACUUUCAUAUUUGAAAUAAUAAUUUUUAGAUAGUACAUUUAACAUCGAAAACAUAUAUUUUGGAUACAAAGACACAUUCUCACGAUAAAAUGCACAUCUACACAUAUUUUCAUAUUUUUUUCAAUAAUUGCAUAUCGAAAAGACACAUAAUAUAGAUACAUGCAUCAUUUGAAAGCUUUUUUAAAUCUAUCUUAUUUUAUAAAGAAAAGGUACAUCUUAAACAUUUUUAAGUUUUUGUUAUAUAUAUAUAUAUUUUGAAAUAUUUUUAUUAUUUCUAUAUAUAAUAGCAGACCCUUUUUAUUUAAGAAAAUAUAAUUUAUAACCAAAACAAAAAAAAAUUAUCAAAUUUUUAUAACAACAAAUUGGCGAAAGUAUUAUGUAUAUUUAUAUAAUAUUAAAUUGCUUACUUUUAAUCAACCGGGGUUGGUUGAUCACACAUGCAUUGAGUCUCCACAUGCAAUCUCUCAUCUUCUUCUUUUUUUUUUUUGCUUUCUUUUCUUCCCUCCUCAUUUUAUUUUAUAUGUAUUUUUGACCAAAUAUAGGUUAACCAAAUAAUUAUAUUGAUUCAUAUUUUUCUACAUAUGCCAGAGAUUGAAUUUUGGCUUGGCAACUUUAAUUAUUGUAACAACUUUUUUAAACUUAUCGAAAAUUAAAAAAAAAACAGAAAGUAUUAAUAAAAAGAUUCAUCUUUUCUAUUAUUAUACUUUUAAAAUAUGUAAACUAAGCAUUAUCUAACAGAUUUUCUUGCAAUUUCAUUAAAAAUGAGUUUUCAAAUGGUUACUGUGUUUUUUUUUGUUAUCUGAUCUGAAGAAACAGGGAAAAAGAAGAACAAAGGGACUUUUUGCGUAUCUUAUUCAUAACCAAAACUUUGUUCCAUACACCCAGAGCCGGCCGUUGCCAUAAGCCCAAACUUGUCGUGCUGGAUGACAUUCAAAGAACACAUGGUUAAUUGAUUCCUCAUUGUCCCCACACCGUACAAAACAUGUGUCUCCUUGUAUUCCUCUUGCUUUUAAAUUUUUCAUGACCGCUAUACAACCUGAAAGUAACUGCCAUAAGAAAUGUUCUAUCUUUGGAGGACAUCUUACUUUCCAACAGUAGGCUUUAACUAUAUCCACUGUUGGUCCAUAAAAUUCUGGUGGUUUUUCCUUUUCUGGAUAGACUCGUUCCACUUGAUACCCAGAUUGUACAGUAUAUUUUCCGUUGUUAGUGAAAUGCCAUCCAUUCCUAUCUUCCAUCUGAUUCCUACUUAAAGGAAUACUUUCAAUAAUUUUGACAUCCUCAGGGUCCACCAAAGUCCUAAUUACCGAUAAAUUCCAUGUUCGGCAUUCCGAAUUAAUGAGAGAAUCCACUGUGAGAUCCGGGUAACUGUGAUGAAGGUUUUUGUUUGCUGGUCUCGGGCGAGUGGAUGGGAUCCAAGGGUCAUUCCAUACAGAAAUAGAUGACCAUGUUCCCACCCUUUUAAUUAGUCCUUUACAAACCAGAGAUGUAGCAGAGGUAAUACUCCUCCAGCCAUAUGAUGAGGAGUAUGAUCGGAUCGGUUCCAGGGGUGAAGCAUUCCUGUAGUACCGUCCUUUGAAAACUAGAGAAAAAAGAGUAUUCGGCUUCUCGAUCAGCCGCCACAAUUACUUGCCAAGCAUCGCCGUAUUAAAGUCUGUAAGAUCUUUAAACCCUAAUCCGCCAUUAUCUUUAGGAACACAUAAUUUAUCCCAUGAUUUCCAAUGCAUGUCUUUUGUACUUCCUCCUGGACUCCACCAAAACCGAGCUACUGCACUCGUUAGCUUCUUCACUGUAGCUUUUGGCAAUCGAUAAACAUACAUCACAUGGUUUGGUAAAGCCGUAACUACCGAUUUAAUAAUGACAUCUUUUCCUCCUUUAGUAAAGAAUCUAAAAGUCCAUCCAUUAACUCUGUUGUUUAAUCUAUCUUGUACGAAACCAAACACUUGUACCUUAGAUCCUCCAAAACUUUCCGGCAAUCCCAAAUAAGAUCCCAUUCCUCCAAGGUUCUGAAUUCCGAGAAUAUCUCUUAAUUCCUGACGACUGGAUUCUUCAAUUUUAUGCCCAAAUUGAAUUCCGAGAAUGAUGCAAUCUUGGUGACAUUUUUCACAACUUUUUAUAGUGAAAAGAUAAAAUUGUUAGGAUUUUUAUUAUUAUUUCACAACCUUUUAUAAUUAUUGCAUGUGAAAAUUCAAAUAAUUGUAGGAAGAUAUAUCAUUCCAAAAUUUGAGAAAUUUUGAGGAUUAAUAACAUUUUUAUUAUUGGAAAGACAUAACCUUUCACAUUAAUGAAGAUGUUUAUAAAAUAUUUAUAGGAUGAAAAGACAUAACUAUUAGACAAUUUUUAGAAAAGAUAUAAUCUUUCAACAUUCAAUUUUUAGAAAAUAUACAACCUUUUUGACAACUUUAAGAAAAGACACAACUAUUUAGACAACUUUUAAAAAAUACACAACCUUUCAACAUUCAAUUUUUAGAAAAAACAUAACUUUUUGACAACAAUUAGAAAAGACCCAACUUUUAAGAUAAGUGAGAUUCACAACCUUUGGAAUUAAUCAUGAUUGUUAUUAUUAGUAGAUAUAUAUAUAUAUAUAUAUAUAUAUAUAUAUAUAUAUAUAUAUAUAAGACUUUUAGAACAAUGCAAGAAUUUUGUUUUUAUUCAAGUAUAAAACUGUACUUCAAAGAUAUUUAGUUGAGAUUAAGAAAAUAUUUUGUUCAAUCUUUUACAAGUCCAAGAAAUAAAAUUUGAAGAAGUAAAUUCGUUUAGAAGAUCUUCUUAUUGUAACUAAUAAAUUCGUACACAGAUCACACAAAUAUUGAUAGGGCCAGUAUCAUCGUCUUCCAUGAUGGAAAAGUUCAUCCACCAUGUCUAAUACAUAACAGAAACUGAUGAGGGUCUGUGUCCCCGGUUUCUGAACUGUCAAGUUCUUUAUUUUGAUUCUUCUAACAUACUCCUGUUUCCGAAUUAUGUGCAACAAUGAAUAUCAGUGUUUUAAAUAGAAAUAGCUGAGUAUGUACAAAAGAAGAAAUGUUAUGAUUUGUCGACAAGUGACAACAUUACGUGAACCAAUCUACUAGUUAAGCUUUUUUUGUUUGGUUUAACUAACUUAUUUAUAUAACUUACAUGUGUUAUGUUUGCCACUUUUUUUUUUCGUGCGUAAUUACAAUUGUUUAUAGGGUUACUAAUUUUACUCUGCAUUUUCUUCUUCUUAUAACUUAUAUUUAUGUUUGACACUUUUGUUUGCUUAUUUACAAUUUGUUGGUAAACAGUUUUCGAAAGAAAAAUUCAAGACACAAGUUAUGCUUAGCAUUAUGUUUUUCAAACGCAUAUAUUCACCAUCCACACAUUUUGCCGAAAAAGAAAAGAGAAAGAUAAUAAAUUCCACAUAUAUAUUAGUUCAAUAAAGAGGAAUAAAACAUAAAAUAUGCAUCAAACCCAUAUUAGUUCACUUACAAGCCAAGUACUACGUACGCAUCAUAUAAUGCUCAAUGUUAAUAAAUUUAUUCCAUAUGUUUUUUUUGAAUCAAACUAUAUUCUUGCUUGACUUAGUCUUACGUCCUCUUUCUCGCUGGCUUCGAAGGACUGAAAAGAUCAUGGAAAAGAAAGAAAUUUGCAUAAGCUUGACGAUGUUUAAACUAAGAAAUGAAUUAAGCCAAAGUUCAAAAAGAAAAAAAAAACUAAGAAGCGGUUUAAACCCACCUUUUUUUUUUUCAAAUUCCGCAGGAUCUAUCUGCUUAACCAAUCCCCAUGCAAAGUCGAAAUCCUCCAUAGUGACCGUUAAAACCUCCCCGGAUGGGACUUCAUGACCUCUCUUCUUAUCUUCUGCCCUUAUAACGAAUGCGCAUGCAGUACCAACCAAUGUCUUUAGGUGACCACGUGUAGCGUUCAUAGUCUUGGCAGCUUUCAAUUUCAUGAAAAGAUAAACAAGUUUUUGUUGUAUCUAGAAAGAUAGAGAAAAUAUCAAUAUUGCAUGUAGUAGUAGAUCAUGGAGGAGCCACAUACCAAGCACGUUUAGGUCGACGGUACCGUCAAAGAGAUACGUAUGGUCCUUCAGUUCCUUCAAAGACUCGACCUCGGCUUUAAGGAUGAACAAACGCUCCUCCUCACUCAGAAAGUCAUCCUUCGAAAUUGCAUCUAAAUUGUUAGCCAUAAUGUGUUUUAGUUGGUUUUGAGUAUGAAAAAAAGGAAGAGUCUGAACUUGAUUUGUGAUAAUGAUCUCGAUCAAUGUGUGCGUAUAUAUAGACAGGUGAAGAUGAGAAGUUACCACGAAGUUACUUCAACCUGUACGUAGACUGUAGUAGACUAGUAGGUGUGGGCACAUGCAUAUCGCUCUAUCUCUCUCUGGAUGCGACGAUCCAUUUCAGCUUCUUUUUUUAUGCCAGCUAGAAAGAUUCAUCAGUGUCUUAUGCGUAGUUUUCCAUAUUUGGAUUUUUGAAACAAAACUAACAGUUAAUGAUAGUAAACAAAAUCAUAUAAAGUAGAUUGUGACAAUGAAACAGAUCCCUUUUGUUGUUGUGUGUGUGUGUGUGUGUGUUCAUACACACAUAUUGUCCUUAAGGCAUUAACAAACAAAGUGUAACGACCCUAUUUCCAUUUUAUUGGAUUUUGGAAACAAAAGCGUUAACGAUGCCAAUGAAAAUUAUACAAAGUAGAAAGAAAUAUCUCUGUGUGUGUGUUCAUACACAUUUGUUAUCCUAAACGUAAAGGAUUACUAUAUUAACAAAGAAAGUGUAACGACCCUAUUUCUUUAAUCUGUGGUUUGGUUUCAUUCAAUUAUUUUUGUUGAGCCAAACCGGUUAUCUUAAUUAAUUAUUUCUCUUUUUUGUUUUUUUAUGCAAGACUUAUUUUAGGUUAAAGAAAUAGUUUCGAAAUUAAUUCAUUAGUUAUCGUAUGACACAUAUGUCCAGUUAUAAUUUGCAUGGUUAGACCAUUUUCUUUUUGGUCGAUGACUCAUUACAAUAUACUUAACAAUAUAUUGUAAUUUGUGGGGACGAUAAAUAUAAUUUAUUUUAACUAUGAAAUUCUAUUUUAUUAAUAGAAAAAUAGGGUAAAAAUAAAGUAUUUUCUCAAAAAAAAAUAGAUUAAAAUAAAUUAUAUUUAGUAUAAACAUAGCGAUUAAAAAAUAUAAAACAUGCAUUAUAUAUUAAAUAAGGAUUUUUUGGGUUUGUGUAUGGUUCUAGUAUGUGGGUCUCUAUUCAUUUGUUCCUUUUACAGAUUUUGAUUUACCGUUCUCGACUUAACUUCAUUGUUUGGGUUUCUCUGUGUGAUGGUAUUUGGAUGUGGAUGCAUCUACAAAACUUUUGUGCAGGGCUUCGAGAUGAAGCAGUGAGUUCAAUUGUUAAAUCUUAUGUUGUAUGGAGGUGAUCAAUUUUUCCGACCAAAACAACAAAAUUGAUUUUUUCCACCGAAAUAAAAGAAAACUAAUUUUUCUACAAAAUUGAAAAAUCGAGUUUUUCCGCUAAAACUGAAAAUCAAAUUUUCUUGUCAAAACUUCAAAAUUGCGUUUUUCCACUGAAAGCAAAAAAAUCAAUCUCUUCCGCCAAAACCGCAAAUUUAUGUGUUUUCCACCGAAACAAAAAAAAAUCAAGUUUUCCCAUCGAAUCCAGAAAUUUGUGUUUCCGUCAAAAAAAAAAAUCACUUUUCCGCCAAAAUCGUAAAAUCGUGUUUUUCCCUAAAACCAAAAAAUCAAAAUUUCCUAACAAAACCAAAAAUUUAAUUUUUCUGCCAAAAUCGCAAAUAUAUGUUUUUCCGCCAAAACUGGAAAGUCGAACUUUUCCACUUAAACCGUAAAAUUGAGUUUUUCCACAUAAAUGAAAAUUGCGCUUUCCUGCCAAAAAAAAAAAUCAUAUUUUUCGUUAAAACCGAAAAAUUUAGUAUUCUUGCCUAAACUUAAAAAAUUUGAUUUUUCUCACUGAAAUUGGAAAACUAAGUUGUUCCGCUGAAACCGCAAAAUCAUAUUUUACCAGAACCGCAAAAUUUUAAUUGUCUGCCAAAAAUAAAAAUUAAUUUUAAUAUAUUUAUCUUAAUAUUAUAAUUAGUUUAUUAUUAUUAAUAUAAAUAAUGAAAGUUUUAAUUUUUAACUAUUAGUAUUCAAAUGGUAUUACAAAUUUUUUUUUAAAAAAAAAAACAGAAAAAUUAACAUAGUAUUUAGAUGUUGCAUUUGGAUGCAAAUACUAACAAACAUGCAAAAUGCCUACAGUCCGCCGCAAAAGAGCGUUGGUUGUCUUAACCGAAGUCUAAAAUAGCCGUGGUCUUCCUUGAAAGAGCGGUGUUAGCAUUCCUGUCCUAUUUCUAUGAGCACUGCGACAAGCUACGUUGCACGGAAGCUUCAUCGGACGUCCGCUUCCCGCUUCGGAACCGGAAUCGGAAUCGGAACCUCGUGGAAGCUUGCGGAAUCUCGCUUCCAAAACGUUUUUAAAAUAUUCUCUUUAAAAACCUGUUGGAAGCUUAUGAUUCCGUUUUGGAAUCACGCUUCCGUUUAAAAAAAAAAUACAAUGUAUAUCAAUAAAAUAUAAAACCAUAGUUUUAAUCUAUAUAAAAUAAAAAAAAUUAAUAGUAAUGAAUAUUGAGUUAUAAAUAUACAAAUAUCAAAAAUAAUACUAUAAAUUAUCUUUAUGCAUUGAGAUUUUUUAUUAAAGAUAUAGCACAUAUUGAAACAUAGUGUCAAUUAUUUAUGAAGUAUUAAAAAUAAUUAAUAUAAUAUUUUUUGUAAACAUAAUUUAUGUGUAUUUUUACAGUUUUAAUAUAAAAUCAUUUCAAAAUUAUUAUAAAUGAAUAAAUGUUUUAUUUCAAAUUUAAAUCAUAUAAUUUUUAGUCCUAAUUUUUUAAAAAUUUUGCAUAUAUAUAUAUUUAUUUAUAUAUGGAUAUACGCUUCCAAUACGUACCCGCUUCCUAAUAUUUUAAAAAAUCUCGCUUCUGCGCUUCCUUACGCUUCCGCUUCCACGUACCCGCUUCCGUUUCCAUGUAACAUAGGCGACAAGUAUGUUUCUUUUCCUCUCUUUUUUUCUUUUGUGAAAGCUUUACCUUCUCUCUUUUUGGCAGAUUACAAUUUCUGCUAUGGUUAUUUUGAUUUACUCGAACAAAAGACCACGAUUUAAUUCCUCGAAUGAUCUAACUUGUCUUGUUUUGUUUUUUUUUUUGUGUUGUUGUAGCAGUGGGAGCUUUAUUAUAUCGGAAUGUGUAUGGAGAGUAUGAUUUAGCAUAAAUAAAUAAACUAUGGUUUGGUUGCUUACGACCCUAUUUCCUUAAUCUAUGGUUUGGUUUCAUUCAAUUAUUAUCGUUGAGCCAAACCGGUUAUCUUAAUUAAUAUUAUAUAUGUCACAGUUAUAAUUUGCAUGGUUGCGCCAUUUUCUUUUUGGUGGAUGACUCAUUACAAUAUAAUUUAGAUUUUAGUCUGAAAUUUUCUUCCAUGAGAGGAAGUCCUUCUCUGAGCUUCACCAUUGGCUCCCAACUCAACACUUCUUUAGCCUUGCUUAUAUCUGGUUUCCUCUGUCUAGGAUCGUCCGGUGUGUUCUCCACCAUCUUUAUCUCUAUGCUGGGGGUAAUCAGCUGCAUGCGUAUAAAUAUAUCAUUAAUGUUGAGAAAGUUAGCGGAUAAUAUUUUCUUCGAGAGGUUAAGAUGGAAUGUAGACGGUUUUUGUUUGAGAUAACCUUCGUAUUUUAGGAAAGGGAUUUUUCUACUAAAGCUUGUGUUUGGAGAUUUCUUGGAGAUUUUUAGAACUCUUGCUGAAAUGUUUUCUCUCUAUUAUUUUUCUUGAUUCUGGAUGAUUACAAGAGAACUAAACACCCCUAUUUAUACUAGUGAGGGGUAUGUACAAGCUACUUCUAGAACUUUCUUUUGAUCUUAUCCUAAACACAUUCUACACACUUCUUCUUCCACACUCUUCUUCUUCCUCUAGAUACUUCUUCUUCUUGGGCUAAGGCUUGAUUAUGAUUUGAUUAGUUUUGGGCUUAAGGAGGGAAACCCAACAAAUCUCCCCCUUCCCGACUUAGUCCGAAAUCGUUGUCAUGCCGGUGCCUAUGCAGCAAUCUUCAAACUUCUUGAUCGGUAAUAUCUUGGUCAUAAAGUCUGACUAGUUUUCGUCAGUGUGUACCUUGUUGAGAUGUAUGAGCUUCUCUUCAAGAACUUCUCGGAUCCAAUGAUGCCGAAUGUCGAUGUGCUUCGAGCGGGAGUGAAACGUUGGAUUCUUUGCUAGGUGAAUAGCACUUUGGUUGUCACAUAACAAGUUGUACUUGUCUUGCUCCACUCCCAAUUCAUGUAAGAAGUUCUUCAUCCAUAGCAUCUCCUUGCACGCUUCCGUUGCUGCGAUAUACUCUGCUUCCGUGGUGGAUAAGGCAACACACUUUUGUAGCUUUGACUGCCAUGAAACAGCUCCCCUUGCAAAGGUAGUUACAAAUCCUGAUGUUGAUUUUCUUGAAUCUUUAUCACCAGCCCAAUCUGCAUCGGUGUAACCGUUCAACUCCAAUUUUCCAUUGCCAAAACAUAGACACUUCUUCGUUGUGCCUCGUAGAUAGCGUAGGAUCCACUUAACUGCUUUCCAAUGCUCCUUUCCUGGAUUCGCUAGAAAGCGACUCACAACUCCUACAGCAUAGGCAAUGUCGGGUCUGGUGCACACCAUAGCAUACAUGAGACUGCCCACGGCUGAUGCAUAUGGGGUAGUCUUCAUUUCCUCUUUCUCCUUCUCACUUGUUGGACUUUGCUUUGAACUUAGCUUGAAAUGUCCACCAAGUGGAGUGCUCACCGGCUUUGCUUUGUGCAUGUUGAAUCUCUCCAACACUCUUUCCACAUAUCGUUCUUGGGACAGCCAUAAAAGCUUCUUUGGUCUAUCCCGAGUGAUCUUCAUUCCAAGAAUCUGUCUCGCUUGCCCCAGAUCUUUCAUCGCAAAACACCUUCCCAAAUCUUUCUUCAAUGCGGCUAUCUUGUUGCGAUCUUGGCCAACAAUUAACAUAUCGUCAACAUAAAGCAAUAAUAUGAGAAAGUCGCCGCUUUCAUACUUCUUUAUGAAAACGCAAUGAUCAUUCUUGGUUUUCUUGAAGUUGUGGUCCACCAUGAAGGAGUCAAACUUCUUGUACCAUUGUCUUGGGGCUUGCUUGAGGCCGUAAAGACUCUUCUUUAAUCGGCACACCAAGUCUUCUUUUCCUGGAACCUUGAAUCCUUCAGGUUGCUCCAUAUAGAUCUCCUCCUCGAGUUCACCGUGUAGAAAGGCCGUCUUGACAUCGAGUUGUUCAAUCUCCAAGUCUAGAACUGCUGCUAGACCAAGAACCACUCGGAUAGAGGACAUCUUCACUACUGGAGAGAAUAUUUCUUCAAAAUCUAUGCCUUUCUUCUGGUUGAAUCCUUUCACAACCAAUCGGGCUUUGUAUCUUGGAUUUGAGCUUCUCUCCUCAUACUUCAACCUGUACACCCACUUGUUCUUCAAGGCUCUCUUUCCUUUUGGUAGCUUCACCAGCUCGUAAGUGUGAUUAUCAUGCAAGGAUUGCAUUUCAUCUUGCAUGGCUUCAACCCACUCAUCUUUAUGAGUGUCUCCUAUGGCCUCUUCAUAGCUUUGAGGCUCCCCCUCAUCUGUAAGAUUGACGUACUCAUCUCGAUAGUAUCUUACAGAUGGUCUUGUCUCUCUUCCAGACCUUCUUGGCUCAUGUUCUUCCUCUGGCUCCACUUGAUCUUCUUCUUCACCUUCAUCACCAUUCGGAUCCAUGAUGGGAUCCCCUUCGCCGUCAUCUCCAAUCACUUGUUCAUGAUCUUGGGGCUUAUAAGAAUCUUCAUUCCUUACAACCCUUAGCUUUGGUUUCUUUAAUUUGUUGAUGUCUUCGAUUGUUUGAUCUUCGAAGAAAACAACAUCUCUGCUCCGGAUAACUUUUCUGUUAACCGGAUCCCAAAGCCGAUAGCCGAAAUCAUCUCUAGGUGACCCAAGAUAGAUGCACUCUUUAGUCUUGGAGUCUAGCUUGGCUCGUUCAUCCUUAGGUAUAUGGACGAACGCUCUGCAACCGAACACCUUUAAAUGGUUGUAAGAAACCUUCUUACCCGACCAAACUUCCUCCGGGACAUCGCCUUCCAAAGGAACUGAUGGUGUGAGAUUUAUGACGUCCACUGCAGUCUUUAUGGCUUCUCCCCAAAAUGGCUUGGGUAGUUUAGCGUGAGAGAGCAUGCACCGAACUCUUUCUGUGAUCGUUCGAUUCAUUCUUUCAGCUAGCCCAUUCAGUUGCGGCGUCUUUGGUGGUGUCUUCUCCAUUCUGAUUCCAUGAGCUUUGCAAAACGCUUCAAAGGGACCUCGAUACUCUCCACCAUUGUCAGAUCGAACACACUUGAGUUUUUGACCCGUACUUCGUUCUGCUUGGGCUACAAACUCCUUGAAAGCAUCGAGAACUUGAUCUUUUGUUUUCAAAAGAUGUAUCCACACCUUUCUUGAAUGGUCAUCAAUAAAGGUGACGAAAUAUGAUGCACCUCCAUUGGAUUUCUCGGACAUGGAACAUACGUCAGUAUGCACAAGAUCAAGAAUAUGCUUUCUUCUCAUAGGCGUAGACGAUCUUCGGAAAGCGACUCUAUGUUGUUUUCCGGCUAAGCAAUCAUGACAUGGUGAGAGAGAGAGACCUUUCAUAUCGGGAAGAAGUUUCUUGCGAGAAAGUAUGUUUAAACCUUUCUCACUUAUAUGCCCGAGUCUUCGGUGCCAUAUAUCCAUGUCAUCACUUGCGACAUUUACUUCUUCCUUGCAAAGCUUGGCUUGAGUCACAUAUAAUGAGCCUUCUUUACUUCCUCGAGCCAUGAUCAAACUUCCUUUGGUUAGCUUCCAUUUGCCACUGCCAAAGUGGCUAUCGAAACCGGCAUCAUCAAGCUUCCCGGUUGAUAUGAGAUUGAGUCGAAUGUCGGGAACAUGCCUUACAUCCUUGAGAACUAUCUUACAUCCUGUGUUUGAUGUAAGAAUAACAUCCCCCUUUCCAACGAUCUUGCUUCUUCCUUGAUUUCCCAUUUGAACAUUACCAAAGUCACCACUUUGGUAGGUUGUGAAGAAGCUUCCAUGAGGGGUGACGUGAAAAGAAGCACCAGAAUCAACGAUCCAUGAACUAUCAUCAGAGCUAAGAUUACAUUCUCCAAUGAGAUAUAAUUCUUCGCUCUGGUCUUCCACAAUGGUGGUAGUCUUGUCUUCAUGCUUCUUUGUAGGAUUGAACCGGUCUGGUUUGAUAUUACCGGUUUGUUUGUCUUUCUUGAAAAACCGACAUUCCGACUUCAUGUGACCCGGCUUGCCGCAAUAAUAGCAGGUAACUCUUGGACGUGACUUGGAUCUUCCUCGAGAUUGGUCUCGUCCUCUGCUUCUGUUGUGACCACGAGUCUCUUCUCUACCCCGUCUAUCAACAAUGUUAGCUUCUGAAUAAGAGCUCGAACCUCGCUCCUUCCUGCGAACUUCUUCAUUUAGAAGGCUAUCAGUGACGGUGUCCAUGGUAAGCUUUCCCUCCGGUGCUGAAUUGCUUAGAGUGACAACUAGUGUGUCCCAACUCUCCGGUAGUGAACUAAGGAGUAAAAGGGCUUGCAUUUCGUCUUCAACCUUCAUAUCAACUUUGUUAAGUUGAUUUACGAUCCCCUUGAAAUUGUUCAAGUGCUCCAUCAUGCUCUGGCCAUCCUUGUACUCUAACUUUACCAACCGUCGAACAAGAAGAGCUUUGUUUCGAGGUGUUUUCUUUUGAAUCAUGGAUUCAAGUUUUGUCCAUAAUUCAAAAGCAUUUGUGUAGGUAGAGACAUGUUCAAAGAGAGAUCGGUCGACAUACUUGCGUAUUACGGCAACCGCUUUUCUAUUAAGAAUCUCCCAUGCUUUAUCAUCCUUUCCUUCCGGCUUAUCCUUCAUGAUGAUGGGCUCAUGCAAAUCUUUGCAAUAAAGAUGAUCUUCCAUCAUCGGUUUCCAAUAAGAGAAGUUGUCCGUCGUGAGCUUGAACAUAUCACCUUCAAAGGUAACGGUGGCCUCCAUCUUCACUUCUUCAAAGAUAACCGGUAACUCGGCUCUGAUACCAGUUGUUGAGAAAGUUAGCGGAUAAUAUUUUCUUCGAGAGGUUAAGAUGGAAUGUAGACGGUUUUUGUUUGAGAUAACCUUCGUAUUUUAGGAAAGGGAUUUUUCUACUAAAGCUUGUGUUUGGAGAUUUCUUGGAGAUUUUUAGAACUCUUGCUGAAAUGUUUUCUCUCUAUUAUUUUUCUUGAUUCUGGAUGAUUACAAGAGAACUAAACACCCCUAUUUAUACUAGUGAGGGGUAUGUACAAGCUACUUCUAGAACUUUCUUUUGAUCUUAUCCUAAACACAUUCUACACACUUCUUCUUCCACACUCUUCUUCUUCCUCUAGAUACUUCUUCUUCUUGGGCUAAGGCUUGAUUAUGAUUUGAUUAGUUUUGGGCUUAAGGAGGGAAACCCAACAAUUAAGACCAAACAACAGGAAACUAAAACUCAAUUAAGAUUCAUCAUAUGGUUCAGACAAAACUGAUUAUAACCUCCUUAACCGUCUCAGCCAGUUCCACCAUUGCGAACCCACCUAAGAAACAAACAGAGAGAUUAAAGACACAAGCCUAAACAAUGAGAAAGAUACGAUCCUCCAUAGUGUUUUUUAUAAGGAGUACCUGGGUUACCAAUGUUGAUAGGGCCAGUAUCAUCUCCUUCCACCAUGUCUGAUAGAUAACAGAAACUGCGAGUCUGUGUCCCUGGUUUCUGAAUUGUCAAUGCGUCUCCUCGAAGUGCUUGAGGAAUGAAGUUGCUCCCCACACGCCCAACAUCUAUGUUCAUCCGAGGACCAUACGUGUUGAAGAUUCUAGCAAUGCGGAUUUCUACAAAAUAGCAAAUGGACACAAUGACUCAAUGAGAAUCUUAAUGUUAAGUGAUGCGGUGAGUUUUUUUUUUGGGGGGGGGGGGGGGGGGUAAACAUACACAAAACUGACCAAUGCCAUGUUGCCUGUGGGUAGUCAAACAUCAAUGUCUCAGCAACACGCUUGCCUUGCCUUCGUCGUAGCAACUCCGAACACCAAUAGGGUUGACGUUUCCCCAGUAGCUCUCAGCUUGAGGGUGGAUGAGAGGAUCUACAUAGACCUCCGAGGUCGAGGUGAGGAGGAUUCUGUUUUAAGAGAAGAACACAAUGUUUAGAGAUGAAAAAAGAAGAUUUGAUUAACAAAUAGGGAGCAGCAGGAACCUUGCUCCAACACGCCUGACAUGCUCAGUGUACCAAUCACAUUGGUUUGGAUGGUCUGCAGAAAACAGAUUAGAUAUUUAGAGAAAAACUAUUGCUUCUGAUGGAUGUUAAUUAAGAACAUAUAUAUGUUUCCUCACAAACCUUAACGGGGUUGUACUUGUAGAAGAUAGGAGAGGCAGGACAAACAAGAUGGUAAAUCCGAUCAACUUCAAUCAACAGAGGCUCCCUAACAUCUAACAUUUCAAUCCCAACAAAAAAAAAAAAAAAGGAAAACAAAUAUUCAGACAUGAAGACAAUAUUUCACACAUGAAAAUAAGAGUGUGGGUCUCAUACCGUGACGAAUAAGCUCAAAUCUAGGGUGACCGAUCCACUUCUCGAGGUUUUCCUUUGAUCCAGUGACAUAGUUAUCAGCAAAAAUGACCUGGAGCAGAAUAAUACAGCCAAUAUAUUACAAUAACUGAUCAAAACAAUGCACAAACAUAGGAGACAUGUCAAUUUCUGUAGAGAGUAGAAAUAUACAAACCUCAUUCUUCUCAUUUUCCAUCAGCUUAUCAACCAAGUGAGAGCCAAUGCAUGAAACCAGCUCCUCCCGAGAUCAAGAUACUCAUGUUGACACAAACAGCAAAAAUAGUAAAUACCUUUACACUCACAUCAGCAACCUUCAGUCAAGCCAAUCAGAUCAAACUAACAGACCACAAGAUCUUAUCAAUGAGACUAAAGUUCUCUCACAGAUCUAAGUGGCAUAACCAUGAUUCGGUUACAAGGAUCUUCAUUACAAUGCCAAAGAGGAAAAAUGAUCAGUAGAACGCUGCGUUUUGACUGAGGCGAAAUUUUAGGCGAUUCUGACUGCGAUACGCGUCGAAAGUUUCCGAUGAUUUCGGCUUUGCCGCCGGGCUCAUCUGGUCCGUCGGAGAGUAAUAAAGAGGUUCGCGAAGAUGGGAUACGUGAGGAAAAACAUCUGACAGGAGAUCUGAAGGAAGGGGGUUUGAAAUGGGUGGAGGCGGCGCAGGAUAAACGAAGCUUGAAGAAAUACGAUGUUGUGGUUAAAUCGAUUGAGGGGAAGCAUCGGGUGGUAAUUCCUGAGGAGGUGCUAUCUGAUGCUACUCCAUUGUGGGAGGAUUUCGUUGUAGGGAAGUUUCUGGAUAUAGCUCCCCACAUAGCAAAGGUUCACAUGGUGGUUAACAAGAUCUGGAAAUAUGGUGAUCCGUCAUCUAAAGUGGAGGUAUAUGAUGUCAAUGCUACUACUAUGCGAUUUAAGAUCAAAGAUAAGAAGGCUCGUGAGAAAAUAAUCAAGAGAGGGAUGUGGAAUAUAGCAGGAGUUCCUAUGAUUGUGAAGAAAUGGACUUCAAAGACAGAGGAAGAGAAGCAAGAGGAGGAGGUCAUUCCGAUGUGGGUUCAUUUGAGUAAGGUGCCUCUGCAUCUGUUUUCUUGGGAAGUUCUGAGUUUUAUGACGAGUACGGUGGGGUUUCCUGUGUAUCUGCAUCCAGAAACAUUAGCUUGCUCAAAUUUUGAGGAGGCGAAGGUGUUUGUGAAUGUGGAUGUGUCAAAGCCAUUACCAAAGGAGAUUGAUUUCGUGAUAGAAGGAAAGGAGUUUACAGCCCAAUUUUACUAUCCUUGGUUACCUUCUAGAUGUAACAAUUGUGAGAAAUGGGGUCAUAGUGAGAAGGUAUGUGUGAUGAAGAAAAGAGACAAGAAGCAGGGAGGGGUUAGUGAAAAAGUGGGCUCGCCAGCAAGCCGUAUUCCCACUGUUGACGUUGGCAUUAUGGAAGUAAAGCAGGCUGAGAGGGGUGAUAAGGAGGGCAGUGAAGAUAUAGCUCUAAAGGAGCUUAUAGAAGGAUCUGGUAGUGGGUCAGUACAGGAGAAGGAAUGGUUGAAUGUUUCACCUGAUAAAGUGGGAAGAGCUUCGUUGAAAACGCCUAGAACUGAGACAGUUGCGGUCAUCUCGGCUUCAAAGUUUUCAGUUUUGAGUGUGGAUGAAAUUGAGGAAGGUGAAAUGCAGAAGGAAGACUUGACAGAACUGGAGGAUGGUAAUAAUGAGGAGGAUGAAGAGUUAGAAGUUAGAGAGGAAGAUAUGAUAGAGGAUGAGUUACUGGACCAAAAAUCGAGAGAGAAAGAGAAAGCAGGAAUGCAAAAAGGGGGAAAGCGUGUGCAGAAGCCUAAAGCUCCGGAUGUAAAUCUUAAGAGUAAAAGGGUUUCUCGCCGUAGAUUCUAAAAUAUGGCGUGUUUUUCAUGGAAUGUGCGUGGGUUUAUUAAAGAGUUGAAGCAUUCCGUGGUCAGAGAGUGGAUAAAUAAUAGGGAGUUCAAGUUUGGUUGUAUCUUGGAAACUAUGGUAAAGGAGAGAAAAGCAGAAAAGAUUCUGAGUACUAUGUUCAGUGAUUGGUCCUCUAUUACCAAUUAUGAAGAUAGUCAAGGAGGUAGAAUAUGGUUUUUGUGGAGGGAUUCGGUCCGAAUAACUCCUGUAUAUAAGACGGAUCAGUUAGUAACGGUAAGGGUUGAGAUGGAAAAUGAAGAGGGGUUUUUCUGUACUAGCAUUUAUGCUAGUAAUCAAGUAGAAGAGAGGAAGGUUCUGUGGAUGGAUCUAGUUCAUCAUCAUGAUUCGCCUAUUUUUCAGAAGAAAGCUUGGAUGGUGUUGGGUGAUUUUAAUGAGAUAUUGGAAGGGGAAGAAAGCUCGACGUUUGAGAAUGGUGGAAGAAUUUCUUGUGGUAUGAGGGAUUUUCAAUCUUUAGUUCUCAGAUGUCGCCUCACUGAUAUGGCCUACCAGGGUCCUCGGUACACUUGGUGUAAUAAGAGAGGUGAAGGCAUUAUUUGCAAGAAAUUGGAUAGAGUCUUGCUAAAUGAAGAAGCUCUUCACAGGUUUGGUAAUGCGUAUUCAGUGUUUGAAUCUGGUGGAUACUCUGAUCAUAUGAGGUGCCAGGUCCAGUUAUUUCCUCCCAAAGAGAAAAUAAAGAGACCAUUCAAGUAUGUCAAUGCUAUGGGUAGUCUUCCUUCCUUUCUUCCUAUGGUUAGUGAGUUUUGGGAGGGAACAGAGCGUCUUUUUCUUUCUACCUCGGCAAUGUUUCGCUUUUCAAAGAAACUAAAGAGUUUGAAGCCGUUGAUUAGAGAAAUGGGUAGAGAUAAGCUGGGGGAUUUAUCUAAAAGAGCUAAGGAGGCAUUUGAUUCGCUUUGCGCAAAGCAGAACUACACGUUAGCAAAUCCUAGUGAAGAAGCUAGUAAGGAAGAAGCUGAUGCUUAUGGAAGAUGGUUACAUGUUGCGACAUUGGAGGAGGAUUUCCUAAAGCAACGGGCAAAGCUUCACUGGUUGGAUGUGGGGGACCAAAACAAUAAGACGUUUCAUAGAGCUAUCAAAUCUAGGCAGGCUCAGAACAUGAUUCGUGAAAUCAGAUGUAAGAAUGGUAAUGUGGUGAAUACUCAUGCGGACAGGAGGCAGUCAGUUAUUUCUCAGAGUUUCUUAAUCGCAUACCAGAGAAUUUUCAGGGAGCAAGUCUAGAAGAGUUGCAGAAUCUGCUUGAUUUUCAGUGCUCGGAGGAAGAUUGUAGAAUGCUUGAGGAAGAAGUUACAGCUGAGGAAAUCCGCAAAGUUUUAUUUGCUAUGCCUAAUAAUAAAUCACCUGGUCCCGAUGGUUAUCCUGCAGAGUUCUUUAAGACUACUUGGUCAGUGAUUGCGCAUGAUUUCACCAUUGCGGUGCAGUCUGUGUUUAAGUUUGGUUUCCUCCCUAAGGGAAUUAAUUCCACAGUCCUGGCCUUAAUCCCGAAGAAGCUGGAUUCACUAGAGAUGAGGGAUUACAGGCCAAUAGCAUGCUGUAACGUGCUAUAUAAAGUUGUCUCUAAGAUUGUGGCGAAUAGGAUUAAGAAGCUUCUACCUCAGAUCAUCACGGAGAAUCAAUUGGCGUUCAUUAAAGGUCGCCUGUUGAUGGAAAAUGUUCUGCUAGCCUCGGAACUCGUAAAAGAUUAUCAUAAAGAUGAAGUGUCUCCAAGGUGUCUUAUGAAAAUUGACAUCUCCAAAGCAUUCGAUUCAGUGCAAUGGAUGUUUGUCUUGCGGAGUCUAAGUGCACUGGGGUUUCCUAAUAAGUUCAUCCAUUGGAUUGAACUAUGCAUCACGAGUCCUUCGUUCUCGGUGCAAGUCAAUGGGGAUCUUGCAGGAUAUUUUCAAAGCUCUAAAGGACUUCGUCAGGGUUGCUCAUUAUCACCUUAUCUAUUUGUGUUGUGCAUGAAUGUUCUGUCAAAGAAAAUUGAUAGUGGGAUAUUGGAGAGAAGGUUUAAAUAUCAUCCAGGGUGUCAAGAGCUUUUGAUCACUCAUCUGUGCUUUGCAGAUGAUCUGAUGGUGUUUGUGGAGGGUUCAAAGCAGUCUAUCCAAGGUGUAUUAUCUGUGUUUGAUGAGUUUGAGGUGUGGUCGGGAUUGAGUAUUAGUGUGGAGAAAUCUACUAUCUAUAUGGCGGGAAUUUCAGAGAUUGAGAAGCAGAGUAUUUUGAGAAACUUCAAAUUUUAUGAUGGUGAACUUCCUGUGAGAUAUCUUGGGCUUCCCCUCUUGACGCAAAGGAUGAAGAAGCAAGACUAUAGUCCUCUUUUGGAGAAGAUAAGAGGUAAAAUAAGCUCCUGGACUUGUAGGUUUUUGUCGUAUGCCGGAAGACUCCAAUUGAUAACUUCUGUUCUCACCAGUAUAGUUAACUUUUGGGCAACAGUAUUUCGACUGCCUUGUAGUUGUAUUAAGGAAGUUGAACAAAUAUGCUCAGCUUUUCUUUGGACCGGGCCAAUUCUUAAAUCUACAAAUGCCAAGGUUGCUUGGACAGACGUAUGUUGUCCCAAGAGAGAAGGAGGUUUGGGGAUCAGAAGUUUGAGAGUAGUAAAUAAAGUUUAUGGUCUAAAGCUGAUAUGGAAAAUGCUAACAGGAUCAUCUCUUUGGGGGAAGUGGAUUAGAGCAAAAUUGCUAAAAGGAAGAAGUUUUUGGGAAGUUAACGUGAAGAUGCAGAUGGGCUCUUGGAUGUGGCACAAGAUGCUUAAACUGAGAAGUGUUGCAAAGCUGUUUUAUAAGGUUGAAGUAGGUAAUGGGAGGCAUAUUUCUUUCUGGUAUGAUAAUUGGUCUAGACAAGGAGUUCUUAUGGACUUAUUGGGUGCUAGAGGAAUUAUUGAUAUGGGGGUGGGGAAGAAUGCGACGGUAGAGGAUGCUGUGCUAUAUGGUCGAAGAAGAAGAAGAAGGCAUAGAUUAAGCAUUCUAAAUGAUAUAGAAGAUGAGUUGGCUAUCAUUAGAAGUAAUUCAAGUCUAGAAGAGGUUGAUAGGAGUCUAUGGAGAAGAGAUUCGGGUUAUAAGUUGGAGUUCUCUACUCAGGAAACUUGGCAGAUCUUGAGAGAUAAGAAACCUUUAUGUAGCUGGGCGCAGGGUAUCUGGUUUACACAGGCGACUCCGAAGUUUGCGUUUAUGGCGUGGCUCUCUGUUCGUGAUAGAAUGUCGACCAUGGACAGAGUCGUGAAGUGGAGUAGGGGGAGUAACGAUAUGUGUGUUCUCUGUCAUAAUGCUCCGGAAUCGAGGAACCAUCUGUUCUUUGAGUGUGAUAUAUCAGCUGAGGUAUGGGAGUUCCUAGCUAAAGGAUUGUUGCGCCAAGAUUUCACUGUUGAUUGGUCUGAGAUAAUAUCCAUUAUUUCUGACAAGACUAGAGAGAAGAAGAGUUUACUCUGUACCAGAUAUGCCUUCCAAGCUGUGUUAUAUGCCUUAUGGAGAAAAAGAAAUAAGCUGAAGCAUGGAGAGAAGAUGAUGCCUCUACCGGUUUUAAAAAAGAUGAUUGAGAAGGGGAUCAGAAACAGAAUCACAUUGGUGCAGAAGAAAGGAGGGAGAGGAAUGGAGGUGCUAAUGCAAUUUUGGUUUCAAACAAGAAUGUAAUUAGCUUAUAGUCUUAUCUUUUUGAGGAUUAGUAUGCAAAUAACUUUGCAACAAAGUAUGCACUAGUUGUAAUAAGGCUUUUUUUGGUGAAUAAAUUUAACAUUCAUUCAAAAAAAAAAAAAAAAAUACAAUGCCAAAGAGAUCAUGUUAAGAUCCUGGCAACGUAGCUGACUCGAUUCUGACCAAACAAAUAAUGCAACGGACAACAAAGGACACGCACCAUCAACGAAUUACUGAUCAGAAAACGGAUUCAAGUGUGUAACUACACUGGACGGUGACGAAUCUCAAAAGGGUAUCACCAAAAUCGAAACUUGAAAUCUUAAAAGUUAAAACAAAGCGCAGAGGAGAAGGCGUAGGAGGAGGCUUUGAGCUGUUGUUCUGUUUCUCACUUGUAGCAGCCAUUUGCUGAGAUCUCUCAAUCCUUCCAGGGAUUUUAGAAGGAACAAAAAAAAUAAAUGAAAUUUUAGAAAAGAGGAGAUUGGGAAUUACGAUCAAGGAGAUGGAAGAUAAUUAUAUUACCAGAAGCUUCGAGAUUGUAAACGAGAAACCUAAACUACCAAAUCUGAUGAGAAAGAAGAGACACAGACAGAUCAUGUACUUAUAGUCCUCACGUGUUUGAAACAACUCAAGGAUUCUUUUUUCCAGUUAAAUUAACUUAAAUUUUAAUUUUAAUUCUAGACAGAAAGAGAGACUUCAAAAGCACGAAAUGCAGCUAUCUCUUCUAUAAUCAUGAGCAUGAUGAAUAACUUUUAGAGGUUUUAUUUUUCAAUAAAUAUUACGUUUUUAAUUUUUAAUUUUUUUUAUCAUAAUUGUCACGUUAUAAAGUCUUCUUUACAAACAUGCAAAAUUUAGAUUUACGAAUUCAUUGGUUACUUUAUAACUUUCAACACUAAUAAUGGUGAUAUGUAUAUUCUUACCAUUAAAAUAGGCUAUAUUAUUAAUUCUGAAUGUGUUACGUUUAAAAUUAAUGUUAUAGUUGAAUUAAUUAUAUAAUAUAAUUCUUUUUAAAUUUUCACUGAGAAUCAAGUUAGGUCCAACUUUGCCUUUUGGUUUUAAUAGCAUUGAUCUUUAAUAUAGGAACUUUUAACAAAAUAUUUAUUUUGUUGACAAAAAAAAGCAACUUUUCAAAUUUAAUAAAUUUUUAUAAUGAAAAGACAAAGGUAUUUAAAACUAAUAUAUUUAAAAAAAAUAAAUAAAAGGACACAUCCUUAAGAUGAUAAAACUAUUUCUUAAAUAUUUUCACAAUAUUUUAAAAUUCAUUACUUUUUGUAAAUAUGUAACAAGUUUUUAUGAUAAAACACAUCUAUACAUAUUAUCACAGUAUUUUCUAAUAGUUGCAUGCUGAAAAGACACACAUAAUUAUAUAAAUGCACAUCAUUUCAUAAUUUAUCAACUUUUAAAAAAAAUAAUCUUCUUAUUAUAAUGAAAAGACUUAACCUUUGACAAUCACUUGAAAUAUCUAUUAUUAAUAGACUGUUUUAGUUAAUGUAAGUUAAACAGAGAAAAAGUUAACCCUUUUAUAAUUGAUUGGCAAAAACUUUAAACAUCAAAUAAAUUGACCAGCGGAUAUAUAUAUAUAUAUAUAUAUAUAAUAUUAGUUGACGAAAGAUAACAAACCAAAAUUAAACAAAUUGAGGAAAAAAAAUAUAACUUUUGCACAAUCGCCAAUAUAUAUUUGUGUGUGUGUUAUUGUAAGUGUUUAAUUUUGUGGAAUGGAGUUGGUGUGUACUACAACGUACAUUCUUACAAGAACAAUGCAAGAAUUUUGUUUUUAUUCAACGUAAAACUGUACUUCAAAGAUAUUUAGUUGAGAUUAAGAAAAUAUUUUGUUCAAUCUUUUACAAGUCCAAGAAAUAAAAUUUGAAGAAGUAAAUUAGUUUAGAAGAUCUUCUUAUUGUAACUAAUAAAUUCGUACACAGAUCACACAAAUAUUGAUAGGGCCAGUAUCAUCGUCUUCCAUGAUGGAAAAGUUCAUCCACCAUGUCUAAUACAUAACAGAAACUGAUGAGGGUCUGUGUCCCCGGUUUCUGAACUGUCAAGUUCUUUAUUUUGAUUCUUCUAACAUACUCCUGUUUCCGAAUUAUGUGCAACAAUGAAUAUCAGUGUUUUAAAUAGAAAUAGCUGAGUAUGUACAAAAGAAGAAAUGUUAUGAUUUGUCGACAAGUGACAACAUUACGUGAACCAAUCUACUAGUUAAGCUUUUUUUGUUUGGUUUAACUAACUUAUUUAUAUAACUUACAUGUGUUAUGUUUGCCACUUUUUUUUUUCGUGCGUAAUUACAAUUGUUUAUAGGGUUACUAAUUUUACUCUGCAUUUUCUUCUUCUUAUAACUUAUAUUUAUGUUUGACACUUUUGUUUGCUUAUUUACAAUUUGUUGGUAAACAGUUUUCGAAAGAAAAAUUCAAGACACAAGUUAUGCUUAGCAUUAUGUUUUUCAAACGCAUAUAUUCACCAUCCACACAUUUUGCCGAAAAAGAAAAGAGAAAGAUAAUAAAUUCCACAUAUAUAUUAGUUCAAUAAAGAGGAAUAAAAUAUAAAAUAUGCAUCAAACCCAUAUUAGUUCACUUACAAGCCAAGUACUACGUACGCAUCAUAUAAUGCUCAAUGUUAAUAAAUUUAUUCCAUAUGGUUUUUUUGAAUCAAACUAUAUUCUUGCUUGACUUAGUCUUACGUCCUCUUUCUCGCUGGCUUCGAAGGACUGAAAAGAUCAUGGAAAAGAAAGAAAUUUGCAUAAGCUUGACGAUGUUUAAACUAAGAAAUGAAUUAAGCCAAAGUUCAAAAAGAAAAAAAAAACUAAGAAGCGGUUUAAACCCACCUUUUUUUUUCAAAUUCCGCAGGAUCUAUCUGCUUAACCAAUCCCCAUGCAAAGUCGAAAUCCUCCAUAGUGACCGUUAAAACCUCCCCGGAUGGGACUUCAUGACCUCUCUUCUUAUCUUCUGCCCUUAUAACGAAUGCGCAUGCAGUACCAACCAAUGUCUUUAGGUGACCACGUGUAGCGUUCAUAGUCUUGGCAGCUUUCAAUUUCAUGAAAAGAUAAACAAGUUUUUGUUGUAUCUAGAAAGAUAGAGAAAAUAUCAAUAUUGCAUGUAGUAGUAGAUCAUGGAGGAGCCACAUACCAAGCACGUUUAGGUCGACGGUACCGUCAAAGAGAUACGUAUGUUCCUUCGGUUCCUUCAAAGACUCGACCUCGGUUUUAAGGAUGAGCAAACGCUCCUCCUCACUCAGAAAGUCAUCCUUCGAAAUUGCCUCUAAAUUGUUAGCCAUAAUGUGUUUUUAGUUGGUUUUGAGUAUGAAAAAAAGGAAGAGUCUGAACUUGAUAUGUGAUAAUGAUCUCGAUCAAUGUGUGCGUAUAUAUAGACAGGUGAAGAUGAGAAGUUACCACGAAGUUACUUCAACCUGUAGACUGUAGUAGACUAGUAGGUGUGGGCACAUGCAUCUCGCUCUAUCUCUCUCUGGAUGCGACGAUCCAUUUCAGCUUCUUUUUUUAUGCCAGCUAGAAAGAUUCAUCAGUGUAUUAUGCGUAGUUUUCCAUAUUUGGAUUUUUGAAACAAAACUAACAGUUAAUGAUAGUAAACAAAAUCAUAUAAAGUAGAUUGUGACAAUGAAACAGAUCCCUUUUGGUGUGUGUGUGUGUAUGUGUGUUCAUACACACAUAUUGUCCUUAAGGCAUUAACAAACAAAGUGUAACGACCCUGUUUCCAUUUUAUUGGAUUUUGGAAACAAAAGCGUUAACGAUGCCAAUGAAAAUUAUACAAAGUAGAAAUAAAUCUCUCUUUGUAUGUGUGUUCAUACGCAUUUGUUAUCCUAAACGUAAAGGAUUACUAUAUUAACAAAGAAAGUGUAACGACCCUAUUUCUUUAAUGGACAGAACCUAGGUUAAAUUCACCCUACCCUUUACGACCAAUCAAAAUGAUACAUAGAUUAUUAACUUAAAAACAUUAAAUUAAAUAAAACAUAACUAUAAAAAAUAAAAAAACUAAUUUUAACAACGCUAACGCUUACAGCUAAACCCUAAACCCUAAAUUUUAAAUUCUAAACCCUAUACCCUAAAUUCUAAACCCAAAUCCUAUACCCUAAACCCUAAUCCUAGACCCUAAACCCAAAUUAUAUACCCUAAACCCAAAAACUAGACUAUAAACUAUACAUAAAUCCAAGUCCUAGACCCUAAACCCAAACCGUAAACUUUAAACCCAAAUUAUAUACCCUAAACCCAAAACCUUAACCAUAAGUCCAAAUGGUAAAUCCUAAACCCAAACCGUAAAUCCUAAACCCAAAACUUAUACCCUAAGCCCAAAUCCUAGACCUAAAACCUAAACGGUAAACCCUAAACCCAAACCCCAAACUUAGAUGCUAUAGAGGUUUGGGUUAAGGUUUACGGUUUGGGUUUAAGGUCUAAGAUUUGGAUUUAGGGUAUAUGGUUUAGGUUUAUAGUCUAUUUUUGGUUUUAAGGUAUAUAAUUUGGGUUUAGGAUCUAGGAUUAGGGUUAAGGGUAUAGGGUUUAGAAUUUCAGAUUUAGGGUUUCGCUGGAAGCGUUAGCGUCGUUAAAAUUAGCGUUAUUAUUUUUUGUCGUUAUUUUUUAUUUAAUUUAAUAUUUUUUAAUUAAUAAUCUAUGUGUUAUUUUUAUUGGUCAUAAAAGGUGAGGUGAAUUUAAAGGGUGAACCUAAGUUUUGUUCUUCUUUAAUCUGUGGUUUGGUUUCAUCCAAUUAUUUUUGUUGAGCCAAACCGAUUAUCUUAAUUAAUUCUUUCUCUUUUUUGUUUUUUUUUUAUGCAAGACUUAUUUUAGGUUAAAGAAAUAGUUUCGAAAUUAAUUCAUUAGUUAUCGUAUGACACAUAUGUCCAGUUAUAAUUUGCAUGGUUAGACCAUUUUCUUUUUGGUCGAUGACUCAUUACAAUAUACUUAACAAUAUAUGGUAAUUUGUGGGGACGAUAAAUAUAAUUUAUUUUAACUAUGAAAUUCUAUUUUAUUAAUAGAAAAAUAGGGUAAAAAUAAAGUAUUUUCACAAAAAAAAAUAUUGGAUUAAAGUAAAUUAUAUUUAGUAUAAACAUAGCAAUUAAAAAAAUAUAAAACAUGCAUUAUAUAUUAAAUAAGGAUUUUUUGGGUUUGUGUCUGGUUCUAGUAUGUGGGUCUCUAUUCAUUUGUUUCUUUUUCAGAUUUUGGUUUUCCGUUCUCGUUCUCGACUUAACUUUAUUGUUUGGGUUUUUCUGUGUGAUGGUAUUUGGCUGUGGAGGCAUCUACAAAACUUUUGUCCAGGGCUUCGAGAUGAAGCAGUGAGUUCAAUUGUUAAAUCUUCUGUUGUAUGGAGGUGAUCAAUUUUUCCGACCAAAACAACAAAAUUGAUUUUUUUCACCGAAAUAAAAGAAAACUAAUUUUUCUACAAAAUUGAAAAAUCGAGUUUUUCCGCUAAAACUGAAAAUCAAAUUUUCUUGUCAAAACUUCAAAAUUGCGUUUUUCCACUGAAAGCAAAAAAAUCAAUCUCUUCCGCCAAAACCGCAAAUUUAUGUGUUUUCCACCGAAACAAAAAAAAAAAUCAAGUUUUCCCAUCGAAUCCAGAAAUUUGUGUUUCCGUCAAAAAAAAAAACAUCACUUUUCCGCCAAAAUCGUAAAAUCGUGUUUUUCCCUAAAACCAAAAAAUCAAAAUUUCCUAACAAAACCAAAAAUUUAAUUUUUCUGCCAAAAUCGCAAAUAUAUGUUUUUCCGCCAAAACUGGAAAGUCGAACUUUUCCACUUAAACCGUAAAAUUGAGUUUUUCCACAUAAAUGAAAAUUGCGCUUUCCUGCCCAAAAAAAAAUCAUAUUUUUCGUUAAAACCGAAAAAUUUAGUAUUCUUGGCUAAACUUAAAAAAUUUGUUUUUUCUCACUGAAAUUGGAAAACUAAGUUGUUCCGCUGAAACCGCAAAAUCAUAUUUUACCAGAACCGCAAAAUUUUAAUUGUCUGCCAAAAAUAAAAAUUAAUUUUAAUAUAUUUAUCUUAAUAUUAUAAUUAGUUUAUUAUUAUUAAUAUAAAUAAUGAAAGUUUUAAUUUUUAACUAUUAGUAUUCAAAUGGUAUUACAAAUUUUUUUAAAAAAAAAAAAAACAGAAAAAUUAACAUAGUAUUUAGAUGUUGCAUUUGGAUGCAAAUACUAACAAACAUGCAAAAUGCCUACAGUCCGCCGCAAAAGAGCGUUGGUUGUCUUAACCGAAGUCUAAAAUAGCCGUGGUCUUCCUUGAAAGAGCGGUGUUAGCAUUCCUGUCCUAUUUCUAUGAGCACUGCGACAAGUAUGUUUCUUUUCCUCUCUUUUUUUCUUUUGUGAAAGCUUUACCUUCUCUCUUUUUGGCAGAUUACAAUUUCUGCUAUGGUUAUUUUGAUUUACUCGAACAAAAGACCACGAUUUAAUUCCUCGAAUGAUCUAACUUGUCUUGUUUUUUUUUUUUUUGUGUUGUUGUAGCAGUGGGAGCUUUAUUAUAUCGGAAUGUGUAUGGAGAGUAUGAUUUAGCAUAAAUAAAUAAACUAUGGUUUGGUUGCUUACGACCCUAUUUCCUUAAUCUAUGGUUUGGUUUCAUUCAAUUAUUAUCGUUGAGCCAAACCGGUUAUCUUAAUUAAUAUUAUAUAUGUCACAGUUAUAAUUUGCAUGGUUGCGCCAUUUUCUUUUUGGUGGAUGACUCAUUACAAUAUAAUUUAGAUUUUAGUCUGAAAUUUUCUUCCAUGAGAGGAAGUCCUUCUCUGAGCUUCACCAUUGGCUCCCAACUCAACACUUCUUUAGCCUUGCUUAUAUCUGGUUUCCUCUGUCUAGGAUCGUCCGGUGUGUUCUCCACCAUCUUUAUCUCUAUGCUGGGGGUAAUCAGCUGCAUGCGUAUAAAUAUAUCAUUAAGACCAAACAACAGGAAACUAAAACUCAAUUAAGAUUCAUCAUAUGGUUCAGACAAAACUGAUUAUAACCUCCUUAACCGUCUCAGCCAGUUCCACCAUUGCGAACCCACCUAAGAAACAAACAGAGAGAUUAAAGACACAAGCCUAAACAAUGAGAAAGAUACGAUCCUCCAUAGUGUUUUUUAUAAGGAGUACCUGGGUUACCAAUGUUGAUAGGGCCAGUAUCAUCUCCUUCCACCAUGUCUGAUAGAUAACAGAAACUGCGAGUCUGUGUCCCUGGUUUCUGAAUUGUCAAUGCGUCUCCUCGAAGUGCUUGAGGAAUGAAGUUGCUCCCCACACGCCCAACAUCUAUGUUCAUCCGAGGACCAUACGUGUUGAAGAUUCUAGCAAUGCGGAUUUCUACAAAAUAGCAAAUGGACACAAUGACUCAAUGAGAAUCUUAAUGUUAAGUGAUGCGGUGAGUUUUUUUUGGGGGGGGGGGGGUAAACAUACACAAAACUGACCAAUGCCAUGUUGCCUGUGGGUAGUCAAACAUCAAUGUCUCAGCAACACGCUUGCCUUGCCUUCGUCGUAGCAACUCCGAACACCAAUAGGGUUGACGUUUCCCCAGUAGCUCUCAGGUUGAGGGUGGAUGAGAGGAUCUACAUAGACCUCCGAGGUCGAGGUGAGGAGGAUUCUGUUUUAAGAGAAGAACACAAUGUUUAGAGAUGAAAAAAGAAGAUUUGAUUAACAAAUAGGGAGCAGCAGGAACCUUGCUCCAACACGCCUGACAUGCUCAGUGUACCAAUCACAUUGGUUUGGAUGGUCUGCAGAAAACAGAUUAGAUAUUUAGAGAAAAACUAUUGCUUCUGAUGGAUGUUAAUUAAGAACAUAUAUAUGUUUCCUCACAAACCUUAACGGGGUUGUACUUGUAGAAGAUAGGAGAGGCAGGACAAACAAGAUGGUAAAUCCGAUCAACUUCAAUCAACAGAGGCUCCCUAACAUCUAACAUUUCAAUCCCAACAAAAAAAAAAAAAAAAGGAAAACAAAUAUUCAGACAUGAAGACAAUAUUUCACACAUGAAAAUAAGAGUGUGGGUCUCAUACCGUGACGAAUAAGCUCAAAUCUAGGGUGACCGAUCCACUUCUCGAGGUUUUCUUUUGAUCCAGUGACAUAGUUAUCAGCAAAAAUGACCUGGAGCAGAAUAAUACAGCCAAUAUAUUACAAUAACUGAUCAAAACAAUGCACAAACAUAGGAGACAUGUCAAUUUCUGUAGAGAGUAGAAAUAUACAAACCUCAUUUUCCAUCAGCUUAUCAACCAAGUGAGAGCCAAUGCAUGAAACCAGAUCCUCCCGAGAUCAAGAUACUCAUGUUGGGCUACACAAACAGCAAAAAUAGUAAAUACCUUUACACUCACAUCAGCAACCUUCAGUCAAGCCAAUCAGAUCAAACUAACAGACCACAAGAUCUUAUCAAUGAGACUAAAGUUCUCUCACAGAUCUAAGUGGCAUAACCAUGAUUCGGUUACAAGGAUCUUCAUUACAAUGCCAAAGAGAUCAUGUUAAGAUCCUGGCAACGUAGCUGACUCGAUUCUGACCAAACAAAUAAUGCAACGGACAACAAAGGACACGCACCAUCAAAGUGUGUAACUACACUGGACGGUGACGAAUCUCAAAAGGGUAUCACCAAAAUCGAAACUUGAAAUCUUAAAACAAAGCGCAGAGGAGAAGGCGUAGGAGGAGGCUUUGAGCUGUUGUUCUGUUUCUCACUUGUAGCAGCCAUUUGCUGAGAUCUCUCAUUCUCUCAAUCCUUCCAGGGAUUUUAGAAGGAACAAAAUAAAUAAAUGAAAUUUUAGAAAAGAGGAGAUUGGGAAUUACGAUCAAGGAGAUGGAAGAUAAUUAUAUUACCAGAAGCUUCGAGAUUGUAAACGAGAAACCUAAACUACCAAAUCUGAUGAGAAAGAAGAGACACAGACAGAUCAUGUACUUAUAGUCCUCACGUGUUUGAAACAACUCAGGAUUCUUUUUUCCAGUUAAAUUAACUUAAAUUUUAAUUUUAAUUCUAGACAGAAAGAGAGACUUCAAAAGCACGAAAUGCAGCAAUCUCUUCUAUAAUCAUGUGCAUGAUGUAUAACUUUUAGAGGUUUUAUUUUUCAAUAAAUAUUACGUUUUUAAUUUUUUUUUUAUCAUAAUUGUCACGUUAUAAAGUCUUCUUUACAAACAUGCAAAAUUUAGAUUUACGAAUUCAUUGGUUACUUUAUAAAUUUCAACACUAAUAAUGGUGAUAUGUAUAUUCUUACCAUUUAAAUAGGCUAUAUUAUUAAUUCUGAAUGUGUUACGUUUAAAAUUAAUGUUAUAGUUGAAUUAAUUAUACUAGAGAUUUUACCGCGCUACGCGCGGAUUAUGUGCUCUAAUUUUUUUUUUAAUUUGAAUAUUAGUAUAUGACUUACUUUUAUGUUUUACUAGGUUCUGGUCCGCGCUACGCGCGGAUAAUGUUUCAAUAUUUGUUUUGGAAAUAUAGCGCGGAUAAUGUUUCAAUAUUUGUUUUGGAAAUAUAGAUUAUAUUUUAAAAUUUUGGUGUUUCAAUUGAUUAGAGGUCGAAACUAUUAUAAUUUAAUAUUAAAAUUAUUUUUAAGUUGAUAAAUGAAAAGAAAAAGUUACGAAAGAGUGAUGUUUUAAUUAAGAAUUUUUUAGUUUUCUACUUUUCUUUGUUAUUAGUUUCUAUUUACAACAAUCUUUAAAAAUUGUUACGUUGUUUUCAUAUAUUAUGUUUUCUAAAAACAUCAUAUUAGUAAUAGUAUAUUUUAAAAGUAUAACAGAUGUACUGUUACAUUAUUUGAUUCAAAGUUGUUCAUUUAUAUAUAUUGAAAUAAUAUAAAGUUUAAGUGUAUAUUUGUAUGUCAUAUUUGCCAUUUAGUGUAGCCAUAGUGAUUUUUAUCGUUUUAUUGUUUUAGUUUAUUUUUAUUAUGCGCUUUAACUUUUUUAAAAAUAUUAAUAUUUUCUAAUUGAGAGUUGUUAAUGAUAGACCAUAUUGAUUUGAAAUAUUUCUAUAAAUACUGAUUAUAUAUAUAAUGUUUAAUAUUUUAGUAAUGUGUAGAUAAAAGAAGUUAUCAUAUGAAUUUUAACUAACUUAAUUUUUUUGAACAGAAUGAUUAGUAUUCUUAACUAUUAUAUUUCUUUUGGUAGCAUAUUUGUAUUUCUAUUAGUGAUUUUUUUAAAUUGGUUUCCAUAACAUGUAAUCUUUGGUAGAAUUCAUUGAGUUAGUAGAACUUAGUUUUUUGGUUGGUAUUUGUAGAUUUUUAUAAAAAUAAUCAGUUAUCUUACUGUUUUUUUCGUUUAAUAGUUUUUAGCUGUAUACUACGGUAUAUUUUUAUAUGUAGUAACUAUUUUUAAAAUAAUGAGGAUACAUAACGAUUAAAAGGUUAUAUCAGCUAAUCACAUAUUCAAAAGAAUGAUUAAAAUUUAAAAACUUGACAUUGCUUUAUGAAGGUAAUGGAUAUAUGUGAUUCUGAUUUGUUUCUAUAAUAGUUGUUUUUACUUGGUUGAUGUUAACUUUCUAAUGAGUUACUAUUUGAUAUCGAUUUAAUUUUAACAAAGCUUAUUUUGAACUAAAAUAUGUAGCUAUAUUUUCUUAUUCGGUGUAUUAGAAGCGUAAGAUUUUAUAAAUAAAAAUGAGUAUGCUUAAUAUAAUGAUUACUCGAGUCAUUUACAAUGUACAUUUUAAAUUGUAGUUUUAAAAUUACCCUUUUACUUUAAAAUUGACAUAUAAUAUAAAUUUAGAACAUAUGAAUUUUCUUUUAAGAUACAAAAAAAUUCUAAAAUGAAUUGUUUCACUUUAUUAAAUUAAAAGGUAAUUUGUAUUCUGUGUGUUAUUCUUAUUUGCCUAUUUAAAAAACUAUUAUAAUUUGAUGGAAAACAAUACAAUUUAGAAAUACAUAAAUAGUUAUAUAAACCGAUUAUAGAUACAAAUAUAAGAGAAUUAUAGAUAUUAACUUUAUUUAUUUGAGAAGUUAACAACUGAAACAUUAGAUUUUUUUUUUUGCAUAUUUUUUAAAGUAUAUCUCAUAUAUUUACCACAUUCAGAGUGUUGCAAAUAAAAGGUCUUGUCAACCUUCCUAGAAAUGAAGUAAUUCUAUGGGUGCCACAUAAGACAAAAUAUUAUCAAAUCUUUAUUAUUUAAAAUCAUUAAUUAUCAUAUAUAUUAUAAUUCCGUAUGUUCUAUUUAAGAAAACAAUAAAGACUAUUUUAUAUUAAUAAUUAAUUAUAUGAUUAGGGUUAAUGAACAGUAUAAUAUAUGUUUAGAUGAACCAAAUUAUUUUUCUAAGCUUAAUUUUCGUGAUGACAUGUGUCAUGGUUCAAAGGUUGUAAUGUUUCUCUUUUAAUAUAUAGAGGAUGUCUACGUGAAAAAAUGAUGUUCCCAAAAAUGUAAAAUAACGCAUUUCAAAUUCUUUGUUCAUUGAUAAUUAUAUUAUCCCAUUUAAGAUGUGUUUAGCACAAAAGGAAGGGUUUCAAUAUAUUUUACUUGAUAUAAAAUAAUAUACUCAAUAAUAUUUUAUCAGCUAUUCAAAAAAAUAUCUAUGCAAUUUCUAUUGAAUAAUUUCUUCUCAUUUUACUUUCUCUUAACCGCCAAAACACUACACAAGUUCAUCUUUCAAGCAGUUAUCUAUUUCGUAUGGAAGGAGCGUAAUGGACGUCUUCAUUCAAAUGGACAUAAGCAACCUAUUUUGGUGAUCAGGGGGAGGCUGAGUGUUUUCUAGAUAUUUAGAUAAUUGGAAACCUUUUUUUUAGUUCAGGGUUGGACCAGUCCGUUGGUAUUUUAGUUUUUAAAAAUAUUCUCCACAUGUAUAAGGUUGGGCUGGAAUGGAGCAAGGUUGGGCCGGAACUUCAAAUUGGUUUGAAACCCAGCCCGUAGUGACAUGACAUAUUGAUUGGUGGGGAAUAUUUCUACCCAUGUGGCACCCUUUAGAAACUCCAAAAAUAGUACCUUUUAUAUAGUAGGAUACUGUACUGAAUAUAAUGUGUUUUAAUAUUUUUCUUGUGAUAAGAUUAUAUAAAAUUUUGUCAUCUAUAUACAUCUAGUAUAUACAUUAUGUACAGAACUGGCUAUUGUUAUGUUUUAUAAUACACCUCUUUGUUUGAAUUUUACUAUAUUCAUUUGCUUACUAAAUUCUUAUUUUGGUUUAAGAGGCUGUGAUACAAAAAAAAGACUUGGUUUUUGUUUAAAAUAUAUUUUUAGCUUUGAGUAAAGAAAAAUAAAAGAAAUAUUGUUUAUGCUUAAUGCAUCAUUUAUAUCACACCUCUUCUCUUUUUUGAUGAUUUUGACAAACAUUUAUUUAUCAUCAUCAGGGAUUGACGUGUGAGUUUGUUUCCAGUAAUUUCAAUAUUAAUUAUAGGAAAAAAGAAUUUCAAUAAAUAUUUUUAUAUUUUUGUUUUAUUUUACUAAUCACGUAAUCUGAUAAUUAUAAAUAUACCGUUUAAAAGAAUUUGAUUUUUUUAAAAAAAAAAUUUACAGCAUGAAUCAAACAUAACUGCUCAAAGAAUUAAUUUAAUAUUUUUUUCUAAUAAAGUCUACAUGUAUAUAUAAUCAAGAGAAUUUGUACUCUCUAUACACAACUUCCCCCUUAUUUGCACUCCAUACCCUAUUUCCCUUCAAUUUUUUUCCCCCAUUAUUACCAUUUUCCCCCAAUUCAAUGGUAUCCCACUCUUUUCAGUAUAUUGAGCUAAUUUGCUCUAUAAUCAAAUUCAUUGAAGACUACCUCAAUUUUUGAAUUUACCAUAAUUUUAGGGUAUCUAAUUUAUACACUUCAUUAAAUCUAAUUUUUGUCCUAUAAUUAUAAUUACAUUAUUAAAAUAAAAUUGUAUAUAAUUUAUUCACUUAUAAUUAUAAUAUUUAAGUUUCUGAAAAUAGAGAAAGACAAUGAUCUUAUGUAAUUCAUGAAUUUGCAACAGUAAUAAUAUGUAAAAUAAUUUUCACAUGUUGGUUUAUUUCUUGUUUCCUCUUCUCAUGCAGGAAAAUUAAAGAUUUUAAAUCCAAAUUGGAAUAUUAAACAUUGUGGUUUUUGAAUGGAAUUGGUUUGAUUGUUGCCGAAUUUUGGUAAAGUCUCAAUAUGUGAAACUGUAAGCUUUUUUUUUUAUCAAUUAGUGAAAUUGAAAAUAAUUCUUAUGUUUUUCAUUUUGGUAAUAGUACUUAUUAUAUCAAAAUCUUUAUGAGUCUUUUUAAAAAACCUGGUUUGCUCCAGUGCCUCCAUCCCUUAUUUUGUUAACAAUGUUGUUGUUAACAUGAAACGUGAAUUUCAAACAGUACUUGCUCCCUUCUUUCAAAGUAAACCACAUUCCCUUUGGAUUCCCAUUCUCGGGUACCAUAAGAACAAUAUCUGGUCUUCCAGGUGAUAAGAUGGCCAGGCUAAUGAUCUUCACUUCAGGGUCAAGAGUCUCUGCACAUAUAAAAGAGCCAAGUUCUAUAAACUCCAUAAAAGAAACAAAUGUAGAAUCUAUAACCAAAUUAUUCACAAUAAGACACAGAUACAGCAAACAAACACAAUGACCUAUGGAUCAUUUCCAAGAUUAUUAUAAUUACUAUUAUAAAGUUUGUAUUUUUUUUAACAAACCUCCAAUGUUGGUGACAUCAACACUUCCAAGAAGCUGUUCCUUCCACUUCCUUAAGCUCUCAUCAUCCUAUAUAUUCAGAUUCAUCAGGAAGAAUUAUUCAAAAAAAAAAUUGAAAUAAAGGGAAAAAGGAAAAAGGAAGCAACUUUAUCCUUCUCGAGAUGCUCCUUGAUAGUGUACUGAGGACCCAAUUGCAGCUUGGAAUCAUCGUCUUCCUCUUCUUCCUCUGUAGCGCAGAUAGAAGACUCGCUCAUCUGCCUCCCCAAGGACUCAUCUAGAUUCAUAAAGAUGAUUUGGAUCGAUGGAUACAUGAUCGUUUGCUCCAGUGUCUCCAUCCCUAGAAAUUGCCGAAUUUCAAGUUCGCAUUUACACAGCAACGACUAAGUGAAUCUCAAAAUAAAAAGCUGUGAACUUUACACAGGGUGAUGCGAAGAAAAAUGAAAUAGAAUCUUACCAUGACUACAUGACCCUCUUGCUUUUCACUCCUCGGGUUAUCAUCCUCAUCAUACUCUAUACUCCACACAAAACAAAUGAUUAGGGAGGAAAAAAAAACCAAAGGCAGAGAGAAGUUAAAACAAUAGUAAGAAAGAAUAUCCAUACCAAAAAACCCACAAGCUACGCCAUUGAUGUAUCUCCGAGCUUCGAUGGAAUCAAGACCAAGAACAAUGAUAUUAAAAUCGUUAUAAAAGUCAAGCUCUUUGUCUUCUAUACGUGAAAAAUGCGGCACAAUCUCCACUCCACUCACUCUCUCCAUGACACACCUUGCAGCUACCUCUGCCUUAGGCUUUCCUACAUCCUCAAGUCUAAUUACAAAGACACACAAACCAAAUCAAUCAAUCGUAUACGAAACUAUUAAUCCUUACAUGAGAGGAAGAAGGAGAAAUCACCUUAAGAAGAACUGGCGAUUGAGAUUGGUAACUUCGAUUCGAUCCAUGUCAAUCACAUCCAGAUUACGAAACCCGGAAAGAGCCAAGUCCUUGAGAAGCUUACAGCCCAAUCCACUGGCACCAACCACCAAGACUCUCAUAUAUUCUCGUAUAUCGUCUCUCAGCUGUAUAAUAGAAAUUCAACUCAGCAGAACCAGAAGGAGGUGGAACGCAAGUACAAAGAAAGGAGUAAAUAACAUAAUUAAUUGAUCAAGAGUGGAUCGGGAUAAUUACAGAAAACUGAAACGGUGAAACGGUGACAACGAAAUGGAAGAGUCGUAGGUGAUCAAAAAUCAACCUUCCAGCGAAAAUAGGUUUAGGCGACAUGGGCUUUAUAUGGGCCAAUUCGAGAUGUAUUGAUAGCCCACAUAAUAAUCUGUAUGUAAGCUGUGUUGAGUUGUUUUAAUGUGACGUGGCAGGAAACUGAUUUCUAAUAGGUUGAUUUUAAUUGAGGACGUGGACAGUCUCCCUACUCCUCAUAUAUUCCUUUUCGUAUAGGAUAGAUAAUAUAAUUCUUUUUAAAUUUUCACCUAGAAUCAAGUUAGGUCCAACUUUGCCUUUUGGUUUUAAUAGCAUUGAUCUUUAAUAUAGGAACUUUUAACAAAAUAUUUAUUUUGUUGACAAAAAAAAGCAACUUUUCAAAUUUAAUAAAUUUUUAUAAUGAAAAGACAAAGGUAUUUAAAACUAAUAUAUUUAAAAAAUAAAUAAAUAAAAGGACACAUCCUUAAGAUGAUAAAACUAUUUCUUAAAUAUUUUCACAAUAUUUUAAAAUUCAUUACUUUUUGUAAAUAUGUAACAAAUUUUUAUGAUAAAACACAUCUAUACAUAUUAUCACAGUAUUUUCUAAUAGUUGCAUGCUGAAAAGACACACAUAAUUAUAUAAAUGCACAUCAUUUCAUAAUUUAUCAACUUUUUUAAAAAAAUAAUCUUCUUAUUAUAAUGAAAAGACUUAACCUUUGACAAUCACUUGAAAUAUCUAUUAUUAAUAGACUGUUUUAGUUAAUGUAAGUUAAACAGAGAAAAAGUUAACCCUUUUAUAAUUGAUUGGCAAAAACUUUAAACAUCAAAUAAAUUGACCAGCGGAUAUAUAUAUAUAUAUAUAUAUAUAAUAUUAGUUGACGAAAGAUAACAAACCAAAAUUAAACAAAUUGAGGAAAAAAAAUAUAACUUUUGCACAAUCGCCAAUAUAUAUUUGUGUGUGUGUUAUUGUAAGUGUUUAAUUUUGUGGAAUGGAGUUGGUGUGUACUACAACGUACAUUCUUACAAGAACAAUGCAAGAAUUUUGUUUUUAUUCAAGUAUAAAACUGUACUUCAAAGAUAUUUAGUUGAGAUUAAGAAAAUAUUUUGUUCAAUCUUUUACAAGUCCAAGAAAUAAAAUUUGAAGAAGUAAAUUCGUUUAGAAGAUCUUCUUAUUGUAACUAAUAAAUUCGUACACAGAUCACACAAAUAUUGAUAGGGCCAGUAUCAUCGUCUUCCAUGAUGGAAAAGUUCAUCCACCAUGUCUAAUACAUAACAGAAACUGAUGAGGGUCUGUGUCCCCGGUUUCUGAACUGUCAAGUUCUUUAUUUUGAUUCUUCUAACAUACCUCCUGUUUCCGAAUUAUGUGCAACAAUGAAUAUCAGUGUUUUAAACAGAAAUAGCUGAGUAUGUACAAAAGAAGAAAUGUUAUGAUUUGUCGACAAGUGACAACAUUACGUGAACCAAUCUACUAGUUAAGCUUUUUUUGUUUGGUUUAACUAACUUACUUAUAUAACUUGCAUGUGUUAUGUUUGCCACUUUUUUUUUUUCGUGCGAAAUUACAAUUGUUUAUAGGGUUACUAAUUUUACUCUGCAUUUUCUUCUUCUUAUAACUUAUAUUUAUGUUUGACACUUUUGUUUGCUUAUUUACAAUUUGUUGGUAAACAGUUUUCGAAAGAAAAAUUCAAGACACAAGUUAUGCUUAGCAUUAUGUUUUUCAAACGCAUAUAUUCACCAUCCACACAUUUUGCCGAAAAAGAAAAGAGAAAGAUAAUAAAUUCCACAUAUAUAUUAGUUCAAUAAAGAGGAAUAAAAUAUAAAAUAUGCAUCAAACCCAUAUUAGUUCACUUACAAGCCAAGUACUACGUACGCAUCAUAUAAUGCUCAAUGUUAAUAAAUUUAUUCCAUAUGGUUUUUUUGAAUCAAACUAUUUUCUUGCUUGACUUAGUUUUACGUCCUCUUUCUCGCUGGCUUCGAAGGACUGAAAAGAUCAUGGAAAAGAAAGAAAUUUGCAUAAGCUUGACGAUGUUUAAACUAAGAAAGGAAUUAAGCCAAAGUUCAAAAAGAAAAAAAAAACUAAGAAGCGGUUUAAACCCACCUUUUUUUUUUCAAAUUCCGCAGGAUCUAUCUGCUUAACCAAUCCCCAUGCAAAGUCGAAAUCCUCCAUAGUGACCGUUAAAACCUCCCCGGAUGGGACUUCAUGACCUCUCUUCUUAUCUUCUGCCCUUAUAACGAAUGCGCAUGCAGUACCAACCAAUGUCUUUAGGUGACCACGUGUAGCGUUCAUAGUCUUGGCAGCUUUCAAUUUCAUGAAAAGAUAAACAAGUUUUUGUUGUAUCUAGAAAGAUAGAGAAAAUAUCAAUAUUGCAUGUAGUAGUAGAUCAUGGAGGAGCCACAUACCAAGCACGUUUAGGUCGACGGUACCGUCAAAGAGAUACGUAUGUUCCUUCAGUUCCUUCAAAGACUCGACCUCGGUUUUAAGGAUGAACAAACGCUCCUCCUCACUCAGAAAGUCAUCCUUCGAAAUUGCAUCUAAAUUGUUAGCCAUAAUGUGUUUUUAGUUGGUUUUGAGUAUGAAAAAAAGGAAGAGUCUGAACUUGAUUUGUGAUAAUGAUCUCGAUCAAUGUGUGCGUAUAUAUAGACAGGUGAAGAUGAGAAGUUACCACGAAGUUACUUCAACCUGUAGACUGUAGUAGACUAGUAGGUGUGGGCACAUGCAUAUCGCUCUAUCUCUCUCUGGAUGCGACGAUCCAUUUCAGCUUCUUUUUUUAUGCCAGCUAGAAAGAUUCAUCAGUGUCUUAUGCGUAGUUUUCCUUAUUUGGAUUUUUGAAACAAAACUAACAGUUAAUGAUAGUAAACGAAAUCAUAUAAAGUAGAUUGUGACAAUGAAACAGAUCCCUUUUGGUGUGUGUGUGUGUGUGUGUGUGUGUGUGUGUGUUCAUACACACAUAUUAUCCUUAAGGCAUUAACAAACAAAGUGUAACGACCCUAUUUCCAUUUUAUUGGAUUUUGGAAACAAAAGCGUUAACGAUGCCAAUGAAAAUUAUACAAAGUGAAAAUAAAUCUCUCUUUGUGUGUGUGUUCAUACACAUUUGUUAUCCUUUUUUUUUUUUGUCACAAACACAUUUGUUAUCCUAAACGUAAAGGAUUACUAUAUUAACAAAGAAAGUGUAACGACCCUAUUUCUUUAAUCUGUGGUUUGGUUUCAUUCAAUUAUUUUUGUUGAGCCAAACCGAUUAUCUUAAUUAAUUCUUUCUCUUUUUUGUUUUUUUUAUACAAGACUUAUUUUAGGUUAAAGAAAUAGUUUCGAAAUUUAUUCAUUAGUUAUCGUAUGACACAUAUGUCCAGUUAUAAUUUGCAUGGUUAGACCAUUUUCUUUUUGGUCGAUGACUUAUUACAAUAUACUUAACAAUAUAUUGCAAUUUGUGGGGAUGAUAAAUAUAAUUUAUUUUAACUAUGAAAUUCUAUUCUAUUAAUAGAAAAAUAGGGUAAAAAUAAAGUCUUUUCUCAAAAAAUAAUAUCGGAUUAAAAUAAAUUAUAUUUACUAUAAACAUAGCGAUUAAAAAAAUAUAAAACAUGCAUUAUAUAUUAAAUAAAGAUUUUUUUGGGUUUGUGUCUGGUUCCAGUAUGUGGGUCUCUAUUCUUUUGUUCCUUUUUCAGAUUUUGAUUUUCCGUUCUCGACUUAAAUUCAUUGUUUGGGUUUCUCUGUGUGAUGGUAUUUGGCUGUGGAGGCAUCUACAAUACUUUUGUUCAGGGCUUCGAGAUGAAGCAGUGAGUUCAAUUGUUAAAUCUUCUGUUGUACGGAGGUGAUCAAUUUUUCCGACCAAAACAACAAAAUUGAUUUUUCCCACCGAAAUAAAAGAAAAUUAUUUUUUUUCAACAAAAUUUAAAAAUCGAGUUUUUCCGCUAAAACUGAAAAUCAAAUUUUCUUGUUAAAACUUCAAAAUUGCGUUUUCCACUGAAACCAAAAAAAAUCAAUCUCUUCCGCCAAAACCGCAAAUUUAUGUGUUUUCCACCGAAACAAAAAAAAAUCAAGUUUUCCCAUCGAAUCCAGAAAUUUGUGUUUCCGUCAAAACAAAAAAAAAUCGUUUUUUCCGCCAAAAUCGUAAAAUCGUGUUUUUCCCUAAAACCAAAAAAUCAAAAUUUCCUAACAAAACUAAAAAUUUAAUUUUACUGCCAAAAUCGUAAAUAUAUGUUUUUCCGCCAAAACUGGAAAGUCGAACUUUUUCGCUUAAACCGUAAAUAUUAAAAUUUAACAUAUGUUAACAAUUUUAUUUUUUGUAAAAAAUAUUACAUAAUUUAUGAAUAUUAAUUAUUUUAAAAGGUUUUUGGGUCAAAAAAACAAAUGUGAAUUGUUUUUUGUUGGGCUUAUAAUGUCUAUCGAUAACCAACUCUCUAGUUUGGGCUCCAGUUGGGUAUAUUCCCCUAAAUCACCCAUCUUAAUCCUAUAAUUUAAUAUCUAUUUCGACAACGGGUUCGUACGUAAGAAUAAUACCAUCAUUAUAUCCAAUACUGCCGGGGGAUAUGAAGAUUUCUGUUAAACAAGUCAAAUUUAUAUAUCUACGAAGUUUAUCAUAAUUUGAAAAUACUUUAAACUAGUUUCAUUUUAUAAUGAAAACGAUUUUUGAGAGUACGAGCAAAAAAUUCACUGCAUGAGGAUGAGUUGGUAGCAUUUUUCAGAAUUGAACCCGUCAUUGUUAAUAACUAUCGGAUUUAUUCGAACAUGAAGUGAACAUGAUGUCUUGAAUCCUCUGAACUUUGGUGUAAACCGAGACAAUAGCUAUAACAUAGCUUUAUUCUCUUCCAAAACUAUUUUCUCUAUUGUGUUCAUUUUGGCCUUGAACAUUCAUAGUUAAUCAUGAGUGAACUUGGAAAAUAUAGUCUUUCAUUCAUUCUCCUAGAAACGGCUUCAUUUCACACUCACAAGGUGAUUUGCCAAUAAAUAUGUUUAGAGGAGUAUUAUGUACUACUCCAUUUAUAUCUCAAAACAAUGGAUGCAAAUCAUUAAAAGCAAAUGAUUUUCCUUUAUUUCUUAUAUGCAGCACUGUUUAAUCAUCCAGGAAACUGAGUAUAGACAGAAGUUUGACAGUGCUUUAGAUAGAUUUAGUUUGAGUUAGUUGUCACCUUGAACCUAUUUAUUGGGAUCUCCAGUCAUUUAAAUAGUGUUGCCGCUAAAUCUCAUCUUAAUUCAUAGGCUUUAAACUCAUUCUUCUUGAUGAUUUGAUAACCUGAUCUCGUGACGAACUUUUAGUAAAUGGAUUCGCAAAAUUUUCAUUUGUUCUGAUGUAAUCAAUCAUAAUUACACCAGUUGAGAUCAAGUGUUUAAUAGUUUUAUGACAAGAUUUACCAUUAUUUAUUCAAAAUUAAAAAUAUUAUGGGAGCGGGUCAUUACAAGUUCCCUUGUCAAACUACGCUGAUGAAUUGAUCUUGUCAAACUAUGCUGAUGAAUUGAUCUAAAAGCUUCUCUAUCACUUUUCUUCCUCGAUUCACGGUUUAAAAACCAGCUAUGAACUUAUAUACAAUGUGAAUUUCACUGCACUGUGUAGUAGACCAUGCAAUUUAAAAGCGAUUCACGGUUUAAAAACCAGCAAUGAACUUAUAUACAAUGUGAAUUUCACUGCACUGUGUAGUAGACCAUGCAAUUUAAAAGCCCAAUGUUUAUAUUUUUGAUAUUCAUUACAGCAAAAUAGAAUUUCAUUAGUUUGAAUUCGUAAGGGAGGGAGUGCAAGUGCAUCAACCUGCUGGUUCCCCUUUUCUAUUUAAGUUUAUUAUGCAAAAUAUGGAAAUGGAGAAGAAAAAAAGAAUCUUUUGUUUUCAAUCUUGACCGUUCAUUCCAUUAAGAAUCCGACGGUAGAGGGAAAUAAACCUUCUGGUAGGUCAGUGCGUUGGGUCUAUAAAUACAUGAACGUAGACUCAGAGAGACCGAACUGAGAGGAGAGCGAAAAAAGCGACUAGGGAUGUUCUUCCACAUGGUUUUGGAGCGGAACAUGCAAUUACAUCCACGAUUCUUUGGUCGAAGCCUCCGUGAAAACCUCGUCUCUAAGCUCAUGAAAGACGUCGAGGGCACUAUCAGGUUUCCUUCAAAUUUUUUUUUGUUUUCUCGAAACCCUAGCCUCCCUCUUGUUCAAUUCGAAUAAAGAUCGUUCCUCUAGUUCAGAAUGGAGUCUUGUCUACUUCUUGUUUGUUAAAGUUUGUUCCCUUUGAAUAUUUAAGAUAUGCAUAUUCAUUCAAUUACAAUGUCCUCCUCUUAUUGAUGACAGCGGCCGACAUGGGUUUGUACUAGCGGUAACUGGAAUAGAAAGCAUAGGAAAAGGAUUGAUCCGAGACGGGACUCCUUUCGUCACCUUCCCUGUUAAGUACCGAUGCGUUGUUUUCAGACCUUUCGAAGGCGAGGUUCUGGAAGCUGUUGUCACUACGGUCAUGCAGGUAAUAUACAGUUCUCUAUAAUAUUGUCUUUAGUGGCAAUCACUAGUUACGGAAGUUUCCUAUCAAAUGUUACAGCACGGAUUCUUCGCCGAAGCUGGCCCUCUUCAGCUUUUUGUGUCCAAUCAUGUAAGAAGCUGCUUUACAUCAUGGUUUAGAGCUACUGUCUCUUUUCGUUUUGGUUUCUAUGUGCUUUCUCUUAUAUAUAUAUAUAUAUAUAUUUAGUCCUCUUUUCAAUCAACACAGGAGAUGCAAGAUGGUAUGGAGUAUCAGGCUGGUGACAUUCCUAAUUACACAUCAUCAGAUGCAUCAGUGUGUUUUCUUUUCUCUGUUACUUGCUUUCACCAGUAUAUAUUCCCAUCAGAAAAACUUAUAUAUAUAUUCCAAUGUCUUCCUGCAGGUUAGGAUCCAGAAAGACUGUGAAGUGUUACUAAAGAUCACUACCGUCAGUGUCGUCGCCACUGAGAUCGUGCGCACCAUACCCAUAACUCUAUUCAUAAUGCAACUUAAAUAAUUAGUUAUUUUUCUUGUGGCUUUAAAUCUAAUUCAAAUUUUCGCGCAUUUGUAUUUGGUUUUGCAGUUCUGUUUGGGUAGCAUCAAAGGAAAAUAUUUGGGGCUCCUUAACGAUCGUGCAUAAGAAGAGUCUCAGUUACAGUUCGAUGUUACUUUUAUACAGAGGAUGAUGAUAAAUGUUGUAUUGUAGUCCCCUAUAAAGCGUUAAUUAUCAGUACGGAGGAUCUAUUUGUUGGUUGAUUCAGAGUAAUGGACAAGGCCAAACAAUAAUAUUUAAAUGAUUGAAAACGUUUUUAUCGUAAGUGAAUGGUAAUUUGUUGCAUUUGAGCUUAGCUCGAUGCUAAAAUUUGUGAGUUUUAAUUUUGAAGAGAAUUCAAAAUUCAAAUGUGAUUUGAAUCAACAAAAGAAGGAUCUUUCUCAUUUAUGUCAACAUAAUCUAGUGGUUUCUUCUGCAAGCAUAAUCUAACGAGCGAAAAAAAAAAAUAGAUUCAACACUGCUUCUAUUAUAUAACCAGUCUUUGAAAGCGAAAGAUGUUUGUGUCUGGAACCAAAAGAGCCACAGAGGUUUUUACCAAGCGGGAGUAGAGCCACACGCUUUCGCUUGCGUGAGCGUGUGCUUGCGUGCGGGAGAAAGAGAGUGAGAUGGAAUUUGUUUCACUUCAGAACCUUGAAAUGAAAAAGCCAGGAAACAAUGAAAGCAAAUAUCAUAACGGCAAGUAAGAAGUUCAUAACACGGCGACCAUGCCAGGUUCACCUUGUCUCUGUCUGAGUUUGUCCUGCAGUUGUUUGUAAAUGGGCAGAGGCAUUGCUCUCUUGGUUUGACUGUUCGCCAGCAACGUUUAUAGCCAUUGCGCCGCAUCUCUCACAUGUUCUGUUCAGAUUCAUAAAAACAAUAUCAGUAUAGUCUUCAGAGACUCACUUCAACUUCCAAACACACAAGAAGAAGAAGAUCUAAGAUAAUCAAACUAAGCAAAAGGGACUGCAAAAUUCUCAAUGCAAAGCAAAUCACAGAAACAGGAUUUAACUAAGACAACAAACAAUCAGUCCAAUGUGCAGGAAAAUAAGAUGAGACACAAGUAGACAACACAGCGAAUAAAAACUGAAUAAUUCGUGUCACUUAAACUGUAGAUUCGAGCUUCAGUAGAUAACAAUCAUAUAGAUCUCUAGAAAUCAGACAAGAAAAUAAAUCAAAGUACAUAAAACAUAUAAUUUUGUUUCCUCAUUAAGUUUCACACUUCACUAUUUUUUUCCCACAGAUUCAUGAUAAUAUGUAGAAUUUUCUGGAAAUAAAAGAUUGAAACAAAAUAAAUGAAGUCUUUGAGAAUAAUUGAGGAUACUUACAUGUUUCCUUUAAUCUUGAACCAAGUUUCAGCACACUUACUUACUGUGAGCUACACCCAAAUCACCUUUACAAGAACAACCCAAUUGCAAAGACAAACCAUAAUACUCUUCUCCUUCUUCACCUUCUCUUGCUUCUUCUUCUUCUUGCUUAUCAGAACUAUCUUCUUCUUCAUCUUCUUUGUUAGUCUCUAAAGAGUAAAGGCAGAUGACAGAUCCUGCAAUCUCUAUCUUCUUUCCUCUUCUUACCACCACCAGAAUGUAGCUUCUUCACGGGAGGCGUCACACCACCGCUCUCUAAAUCGACUUCAGACAAGGAAUCCAAGUCGGAGGAGUCGCCGUCGAUGCUAAUAUCGACCGAGUACGGCUAACUUCGACGGAGUACAAUUAAAUGGAAAGUGACCGAACUAGAGGGUUGAAAGUAGUUGACUUUUUGUUAUUAGUGUUUUUUUGUUUUGUUAAUCUUUCGUUGAUAAAACUAUUUCUUAAACAUUUUCACAAUCUCUUAAAAUUCAUUACAUAUUUUGGCAUGAAAAGUCACCUUUUGUAAAUAUUUUAACAAAUUUUUGUGAUGACAAAAACACAUUUAUACAUAUUAUCACAAUAUUUUCUAAUAGUUGCAUACUAAAAAGACACAUACAAUUAUAGAAACACGCAUCAUUUCAUAAUUUGUUCACUUUUAAAAAAAAUAAAACACGUAAUCUAUGACAAUUACUUGAAAUUUCUAUUAUAAAAGAUUAUUUUAGUUAAUGCAAGUUAAACAAAGAAAAGUUGACAUUUUUUAAUUGAUGUGCAAAAAAAUUAAUUUACAAAAAACUUUCCUUUUUAGAUUUUUGAAUUUUUUUUACUAAGAAAAUAGUUGAUUCACUGUAUAUACUUCAAUUAAAUUUUAGAAAUUUGACUUUCAUAUUAUUUUGUUAUAUUAUUUUGUGUAUAUUUUUAUGUUUAAUAGAAUUUAGAUGUGAUUUAAAUAUAAUUUUACUAAAUAUUAUCAAAAUAUAUUGAUACUUAUCUAAUUUUAAGUAAUUUCUUACACAUAUCAUCCUAUAUAUACUAGGUAAGGAACCCGUGCGAUACCGCACGAGAAUUUAUUUUUUUAAAUUAAAUUCCAAAUUAUAUAAUUUCUUUUGAGAAAUAUUAAAAACUAUAUUUUGUUUAUAGGUUGACUGUAUUAAAAUUACAAAUAUGUUAAUACUAUACAAGAUAUAUGUCUUAUUAUCUGUUUAUCUAAAUUAUUUAGGAAUCUCUGAAAAAACUAACACAAAUUAAUAGUAAUCACAUUCCAAUCUAAUUGUUUUACUAAAUUAAAAAAGGUAGCUUAUAACGACUAAUCGAAGAAUUUUUUUUCUAAUAUAAGAAAAUUAAAACUAAGAAUUUUAUUAUUUCAUUUUUAUAUUAUAUUUUGCUAUCCAAAUCCGAAUGACCCUUCUUAACAUCCAUUGGUUACAAUAUUUCAUUUGAAAAUAUUCUAAGAAUUUGCAGUUAGGUACCUGCAUACAACUUUUUCUAUUCACUAUUUUAAUAAAUUUCUGAAAGAUUUACAAUAAAAAAAUAUGUACAUGACCUAUUUAUAAAUUUUCAAAGAACUAUACGAAUAGUCAUAAUUUUUAAAUUAGAUAUAGUUAUUAUCUUAAAUAGUAAACUUACAAUAUAUUUGAAUAGACACAUUAUUACAAAAGUCACCUUGUUGCAUAAUGAAAAGACACAGCUCUUUAAUUUUUAGAAUGAGUUUUAAGGAUAUUUUAACUACUUUUUAAAGUUAAUUGAAAAACACAACUCUUAAAACUAGGGCUGUUCAAUAUGGUAAAACUGAACCGUACCAAACCGAACCGAACCGAAAUAGACAAUAUGGUUUGGUUUUGGUAUAUACCAUAUAAACCGAAUGGAUAUAAUUUUAUAAAAACCGUAGGAUUUGGAUAUGGUUUGGUAUAUAACCGAUUAAACCGAAUAAACCGAACAAAACCGAUUAAAAGUAGAAACAUGUAAAUAUGUAUCUAUUUUAUAACAAUACAUGAAAAUCUAUUUGUUACAUAAGUUAAAUUUGUGUUAAUAACUAUUACCAUAAUUUUAUAGUAAUAAAAAACCUUAAUUUGUAAAACACUUGAACUAUAACUAAAUAACAAUACAUCGCAAUUCAGACAUCUUAUUUUCUAAGUUUUUUUUGAUCUUUUUGAUUUAUUUUAGUUUUCACUAAAUUAAUAUGAAGAUUAUAAAUUUGAUGGACAAUAAUUAAUAGAAAAUUUUCAAUUGAAAAAGCAUGACUUUAAUGAACAUUAAAUAUGGAAGAGUGGAAAAACUUUUCUUUCAUGUUUCUGUUUUGUUUCAUAUUUUUAUUUUCAAAAUUUCAAGUUUUGAUUUUAGUCAUAGAUUUGAUUAUUUUAUUUGAUGGUAGAAGCAUUUUUAUUUUUUUGUUCAUUUAUUUGAACAUGUAAUAUAUUUUUAAUAAAUGACUGUGUUGACAAUAUGACUCUAAAAUUCAUAUAAUAUGAUCUCAAACAAAAUUAUUAUGUUUUUUGGUAUAAAACCGAAUAAACCGAAAACCGACGGUAUAUAAACCGAACCGAACCGAAGUAAAUAUGGAUUUAGAAUGGUAGUUAUAUUUUACCAACCGAAAUACCGAAAACCGAAAAAAACUGAACCGAAACCGAACCGAUAUCCGGAUUGAACACCCCUACUUAAAACUAAUAAAUUUUAGAGAUGAUGCUUGAAAAGCACAUAUAUAAUUUGACAACUUAUUAAUGCAACUUUUAGGAUGAAAUAACAUAACCUAAUGAACAGACACAAUUCCUUAGUUUUUAGAAAGACAAUUUUGGAAUAUUUUAACUAUUUUUUAGACUAACUAAAAAGACACCAUUCUUAAAACUAAUGCAUUUUAGAGAUGAUAUUGAUAUAUAUAUAUAUAUAUAUAUAUAAUUUUAAUUUUUUUAAUUAUGAUUUCCAAUUCCCACAACCUCUUAUGCAGAGAGUUAAAAAUUACAAUGGUUAACAAACAAGCAUUACAAUGAUUAACUAAGAGUUAUAAUUGUUGACACUAAAAUUUACUAUAGUUCAUCACGAAAAUAUAUAAAUACAACAGUUGCAAUGAUGUAUCAAAGAUAUAAUAGUUCACCACCAAAAUAUUGUAAUAGUUUAUAAAUAUAUGAAAUUAUAAAAGAAUUAAAAAUUACAAUGAAUUACUUUUAAAAAUGUACUAUUAUAUUCUCUCGAAAAUCUAUAUGAAUAGCCAUUACUUUCAUAUUUGAAAUAAUAAUUUUUAGAUAGUACAUUUAACAUCAAAAACAUAUAUUUUGGAUACAAAGACACAUUCUUACGAUGAAAUGCACAUCUACACAUAUUUUCAUAUUUUUUCAAUAAUUGCAUAUCGAAAAGACACAUAAUAUAGAUACAUGCAUCAUUUGAAAGCUUUUUUAAAUCUAUCUUAUUUUAUAAAGAAAAGGUACAUCUUAAACAUUUUUAAGUUUUUGUUAUAUAUUUUUUUUUUGAAAUAUUUUUAUUAUUUCUAUAUAUAAUAGCAGACCCUUUUUAUUUAAGAAAAUAUAAUUUAUAACCAAAACAAAAAAAAUAUCAAAUUUUUAUAACAACAAAUUGGCGAAAGUAUUAUGUAUAGUUAUAUAAUAUUAAAUUGCUUACUUUUAAUCAACCGGGGUUGGUUGAUCACACAUGCAUUGAGUCUCCACAUGAAAUCUCUCAUCUUCUUCUUUUUUUUUUUUUGCUUUUUUUUCUUCCCUCCUCAUUUUAUUUUAUAUGUAUUUUUGACCAAAUAUAGGUUAACCAAAUAAUUAUAUUGAUUCAUAUUUUUCUACAUAUGCCAGAGAUUGAAUUUUGGCUUAGCAACUUUAAUUAUUCUAACAACAUUUUUAAACUUAUCGAAAAUUAAAAAAAAAACAGAAAGUAUUAAUAAAAAGAUUCAUCUUUUCUAUUAUUAUACUUUUAAAAUAUGUAAACUAAGCAUUAUCUAACAGAUUUUCUUGCAAAUUCAUUAAAAAUGAGUUUUCAAAUGGUUACUGUGUUUUUUUUUGUUAUCUGAUCUGAAGAAACAGGGAAAAGGAAGAACAAAGGGAGUUUUUGCGUAUCUUAUUCAUAACCAAAACUUUGUUCCAUACACAUGCAUGCAUAUUAUACAAAGAGAUUUUUUACAUACCUACGUCCACUUUUCGUAGUAACCAUGACCUUGGACAAAGAUAAAAGUGGAGGGACAGGGACAGGGACAGCAAAUAGCAAAGAGAGAAUGGUUUGGAGAUAGGGCUUUCUUUUGGAUGAUAUGGCACUGUGUGUUAGCUUUAAUUGAUUUUAUGACCGGCGAGAUUCAUAACACUGGAGGAGAUAACUCCCUGAUCACGUCAUGUGUGAUACACCCAACAUUUGAUUUUUUUUUUGUGUCUAAAAUUCCACCCAAGAUUGUUUAAAUAGAAUUGAAAAGGUAUGAAGGGCAAAGUACACAAUCUUUUGAAAGUUUAUAUAACGGUUUAAAACGAACAGGUAUAUAUAACAAUUAAUAGAAAUAAAGUUGCAAUGGUAAAACAUUUACGUACAACUGAUGAAAUUGAAAAUGUAUAAGUAUUGAGUAGUAAAAUGUGCAACUUCUCAAAAGUUAAGUGGUUAGGUAAAAUUGUAGAAAUAGAAUGAUGCAAUCUUGGUGACAUUUUUCACAACUUUUUAUAGUGAAAAGAUAAAAUUGUUAGGAUUUUUAUUAUUAUUUCACAACCUUUUAUAAUUAUUGCAUGUGAAAAUUCAAAUAAUUGUAGGAAGAUAUAUUUUUCCAAAAUUUGAGAAAUUUUGAGGAUUGAUAACAUUUUUAUUAUUGAAAAGACAUAAUCUUUCACAUUAAUGAAGAUGUUUAUAAAAUAUUUUUAGGAUGAAAAGACAUAACUAUAAGACAAAUUUUAGAAAAGAUACAAUCUUUCAACAUUCAACUUUUAGAAAAUAUACAACUUUUUUGACAACUUUAAAAAAAGACAUAACUAUUUAGACAACUUUUAAAAAAAUACAUAACCUUUCAACAUUCAAUUUUUAGAAAAAACAUAACAUUUUAACAAUUUUUAAAAAAGACAAACUUUUAAGAUAAGUAAGAUUCACAACCUUUGGAAUUAAUCAGGAUUGUUAUUAUUAGUAGAUUAAAAAAAACACACAAAUCUCUGGUUCAACUAUCUAUAUACAUUCAACAAGCAGGAAACUCCUUAUCACGAUCCAGAUCACAACCAAAUAAAUAAGUGAGGAUCUAUGUAUUGAUCCCAGGGGAAGAGAAGACAAUGCGUUUCUUGCAACAGAUUUAUGGAAACUUAUUUAAGAAAAAAAUAUUCCUACGAAAAUUAAUUAACUCAUUUUCUAAAUUCAUGUAUUUUUUUUCUAUAUGACAUAAUAUAACAUAUUUACGUUAUAAACUUAUUCUUUUACAGUAUUAGACUUGUGUAUUUGGUGAAAAUAAUAUAUCAUAUUAAAAAAAAAUUUUAUUACGGUUGUAAAUAAGUUUAUUUUUAAAACUUGCCUUAGACCCCUAAAACUCUUCGCACGGUACUGAAGGAAAUGGAAGUCGUUUCAGACAAGGCAGAGAGAUUGGAUUCUUUCUGAGAAGAAAACUGAAACUUCUGUCUCCGUGCAGUCCGGGUGGGUCCACACUCUUUACUGUCUCGUCUCUCUAAUCCUUCAGGAUUAGUCAGCUAUUUGAUGUAUAUAUAUAUUACGGUCAGCCGGUCCUGAGAUUUUCGAGGUCCUAUACAAAACUAAAAAAAAAUAUUUUAAAUAUUAUAUCAUUAAAAUUAUAAAAAAAUUAUUUACUAUGAUACUUACAUAUUUUUUUGAAAAUAACCUUAUUAUAAUACCUUUUUGCAUAAACUUAUAUGUUAACUUAAUUGAUUUAUUUGUUUUUCUUACAUAAAACCUUUAAAUAUAAUGUAUAAAAUAUGCAAAAUAAUAAUUUUUUUUUUUUUUUUUUAAUUGUGGGCCCCACAAAUUUGGGGACCCCAUAACAAUGUUUCGUCCGUAUGCCCUUAGACCCGGGCAUGUAUUUACGGAUAGAGCUGGGAAAAAUAUUCGUAAAUUUUUAUUCUAUUCAUUAUCCGUUUUGAUUCAAACCGAAAAAUCUGGAUAUCCGUAACUCUACGAAGUAAAUUAAAUACUAAAAUAUAAUAUCCAAAAAAAAAUCACAAAGAUCAAUAUUUUUAGGAACGUAUAUCCAAUUCUAUCUGUAAUAUGCAUAUAUAUAUAUACAUAUAUUAAAAAUAUUAUAUAUAUAAGUUAUAUAUAUUAUAGUUUAUAUAAGUUUUACAAUAAUUUAUGUAUUAAAUUUAUUAUACUAGGUAUUAGAAUUUAAAAAGUUAAAUAAUGCUUUUUGUAAUAAAAUAUUAUUAUUUUAUAUUAUUUUCAUUUAUUUUUAAAAAACUAUUUAAUUUACGAAUCAAAUCGGAUAUCCUUUAAAAUUCUAAAAUUUUCAGAUAUUUGAAACACCGAAUAUUAGUGUGGUUACAGAUCGAAUCGACACGAAUGCAUCCAAAUACCCAGAUAUUCGAUCCGUACCCACCUCUAUUUACGUAUUCAAUUUGAUUUUUUUUAUUUGAAAAAAAUUCAUUAAUGUCUAGGCCUAUUUUUUUAAUUAAUUGUAUUUUAAUACUUUUAUAUUUCAUGUGUUAUUUUGAAAAAAAAAUAUCAUUUAAUAUUAAUUAAUAGUAUCUUUAUAUAUUUAUCAAACAUCUUGAUCAAACAUUUUUAUAUACUUUUACAUACACAUACACAUACACAUUGACACGAACACCUUAUAACUAAGUGUUCACCACUGAAGUAUUUAAUUCUUUUUGGAUACUUCUUUCACUAUCAACCAAAUGGUAGUGAAAUGAUUUGUCUUAAUAAUCUUUUUUUCUUUUUUAACUAUUAUUUGUUUAGAAACUAUAAUAUGAAACUAUUGGUUCGACAUUACGACUAUCUAAAAUUUAUAACAUGAAAAAAAAAAAAAAUUCCCGGUUUUCACCGGAAAAACCAAAAAUAUCAAACAUUUUAACCUAACAAACCAAAAUAAAUAUUCCUUUAGAAUGAGAGUUAUAUUUUAGGAGAUUAAAAACCAAAACAAACAACCUAAAACUGAACUGAUAUCCAGAUUAAACAGAUUCAGUGUCUCCUUAUUAAAAAAAAUAACGAAACUAAUAGCCACAUCUCGCGCAAUGUGCGGAUUAUCUAUUCUAUUAAUUCUGCAGCAUGACCAGUUGAUUUUUGUUUGGUCUAACUAUUAUUUCAACUAAAUAUACUUUAUUUAUAGAAAUCUCUUUUUUUUAUAUAAUAAUAAUAACUGCAACGAUAUCUAUUUUAUGAAUGUAACCACUUAAAUUGCGUAAUAAUCGGCGGCCACUUUUCGUAACUGCAUUUAUAUAUCAGUAUAUCAAUAUUAUUAAUACAUAAUUCAAUACGAUUAUUAUUUUUGAUUUUGAUUUUUGAUGAACACUCAAACCCUCAGAAUUUAAUCUGCAAAUAGAAGUGUGUAAACAGUUUAUGAGAUUCAUGGUGACUUACAACCGCUAUCUUUCUCAUAAUCGGCCACUAUAUCGAAAUCAUCAAAAAAAUUUACUUUUUUGAGUUUCUAUAGGUUAAAAUCCGAUAUUAUAUGUCAAAUCUGUAAGGUUCAAACGUAAAAAUCAACGACUACGCAUAACAAUCGAUGGAUUAAAUAUGAAAAACAAUGGCGGCUGUAAAACUCUUUUCUGCCUAACCUAAUUCGACUCGGGAAGAAGAUAAGAAAAAUUACGUUUAUGCCAUUAAUGAAAAAAAUAAAGAAAAAGAUAGAAAAAAUGAAAAUUCGAUGUGGGUAUAUCGAACCCAAGCUAUGCAAACAUAUGCGUGCUGUGUUCCACUAGGCCACCGAAAGAUUUUGUAAAUCAUUGAUUAUUAUUUAUUAAGUCUGUCAAUUAAUCAUGCUAUGAAUAAUUUAUUAAUUUGUAAAUCAUCUAUAUUACUUAUUCAAAUUAUAGACUACAUGUAGAGUUAAGAGCUCGGGUUCGAUUCCAACUAUUCAGAUAUUGGUCUUUAGAUGAGAGAUUAAAACCUAUUUGGAUAUUUAUAAGUUUUAGUUCGGAUUCGGUUUGGAUCAUUACGGAUUCAGUUCAAAUACGGGUAGUCAUUUCAAUUAUGUAAAAGUAUUAAAAUCCAAAUAUAUCAUAUCUAUUCUAUUAAAACAGCAGUGUGACCCAUUGAUAAAAGUAGAGUCUAAUUAUUAUUUUCCCAAAAAACUGAUUAUUUUAUAACUGCUUAUAUUAAAUGACUAAUCACGUUUUUUUGUCUAUAACAAUCAGUUACGUUUCUUCAAUCACAACAAUGUCGGAUUCAUUGAUUUAGAUUUUAGACCUGAUCAAAACGCGUCCAUGGUGAUUGAUUCUCUGGCGAUUAUACGUUCCAUGGUGGUUCACUGUGUUGAUUUGUCAUAAUCGGACAAGAAAUCAGAAAAUUUAAAGUAACUGACUUUCUGCAUUUUAAAAGGUUGAAAUCAAAUAUUUUGUAAUGGAUUACAAGUUUAAGGCAUAAACAACAAGAAAAACUCAAAAGUUGAUCGAUUAUGAAAGUAUGGUGGCCAUUGAAAUGUUGCAGAGAAUUCUAAAAUAUUCUUAGGGAAGGUGGAAAUAUUUACAAAAAUGCCACUCAAAAAAAAAACAAUACACACUACAUAAUUAUAUCUAUCGAAUACAAGAGUGUAAAAUGGCCCAAGCUUCCAACAGAACAAGAUUAUACUGUAUAUAUUAAAAACCUCUUUCUUAACUUAAUAUAUAACUACUUUUAUCUGAAACUUAAGAAAUAUAUUAUAAGAAAUAUUAAAUAUUUUUGAAUAUAUAUAAUAUUAAAACAGAAAUAUAUAUAUAUAUAUAUAUAAACCAGUGGAAAUAUAUUUCUUAAGUUUGUUUACUAUAAAAUGAAACUUUAAAAGUUAACUCAUAAAGUUAACUAAUAUUUUUUCAAACAAAAAAAGUUAACUAUAUUAAUAUUAAUUAGUGGUGGAACGGGUUAUUAAUGACAUUUAAUUUUUAUAAGUAAACUUUUAAUAGAAAUAAAUAUUCAUAUAAAUUCAUUUAGUUUAACGGGGUUUUAAUAAAUUAUUCAAUUGAGAAAUCUACUCUAUUAAAACAGCAGUGUGACCCAUUGAUAAAAGUAGUGUCCAACAAUUAUUUUCAUAUAUCAAUUUUAUUAAAACACAAUUAACACUAACUAUUUUGUACGCUAAAUAACUUCCACUAUAAACUCCUAAAUAAUUGGGACCCACUUUUUAUAUAGCUAAAAUUGCUGAGUUACUUUAAUUCUAUAGCUGUCGUUCUUAUGUAAUAGUUUUCUAUAACCCACGCUAUUUUUAAUACAAUUAAUGCCAUAUCAUUUCAUCAAAAAAAAACUACCCAGUAAAAACUAUUUCAAACGAUGAAGAUACCCAAUACGAUGUCAUCUAAAGAAGAGUAAAAUAUUUAUUUUUAUUUUAGCAUUUUAUUAGAAAGAAAAUUAACUUGCAAUAAAAAUUAUACUAAUAAACAAUAUCCUUAGAAUUUUAUUAAGUUUACAUUAAACAUACAAAAAUUUGUGAUUAGAACUUCUUGCAGGUUAUUUUAAAAAGCACUAGAUUCUAGCGGGUAUAUUUUUGUUUUAAUUUUUUUUAAUUUAAUUUUUUAAUUUGUGUUUUUUUUGUAAUCAUAUUAUGUUUAACAUUAAUUUAACUACCAAAAAUAUAUUAAAUUAAAUAUAAUAUGAUUAGAAAAAAUACAACUAUAAAAAUUAAAAUUUUCAAAAAAUUAAAACAAAAAUAUUUUUACAUAAUUUAAAGGACGGGUAUAUUUGUAUUUCUAUAUUUUGACAUAAUUUAAAUGAGUACCCGUAUUUGAACUGAACCUGUAAUGAUCCAAACUGAAUCCGAACUAAAAUUUAUAAAUAUCUAAAUAGGUUUUAAUCUCUCAUCUAAAGACCAAUAUCUGAAUAGUCGGAAUUGAACCCGAACUCUUACCCUUACAUGUAGUCUAUAAUAUGAUCACAGAUAAAAAUAUAAAUAUGAUUACAAAAAAAAUACAUAUAUUAUACAAGGAAAGACACAAGUACAUAUGAAACUUGAUUUAUUUAAUAUACUUACAAAAUUAAUAUAUUCUAUUAAAUUCAUAUCAUACAAAAAUAUAAUUAUACAAACACACAAACAUAUAAAUUAUAUCAGACAAAAAAAUUAAAAACAAAACAUAUACCCGCCCUCUCGAGGGGGCGGGUCAAUAUCUAGUUAUCUAGUUAAACUAUUAUUUACUUAUUUUUCACACGUACUUAUUUUUAUUAAAAAAACCUUAGAAAUUAUUUUUUAGAACCGGCUUCUCUCUUCUUAGAGAGAGAGAGUUUUCUCUCGAUUCCUCUCCUUCUUCUCUCUCAUGAAUCUUUCAGAAGGAGAGUAUCGCCGGUUUAGUUUGGUUCUCUUCACCGGAUUUUUCCGGUUGUGUCUCCCGAUGGUCGGGCUUUUGUCUCCGGGGAGAGGUGGUUCCCUCAACACUAUCUUCGCCGGGCUCUUGUCUCCGGGAAGGGAUGAUUCUGCUACAUCACUUCGCCGGCUCCUUACCGGGGGUUUCCCCGGUUCCGUUUAAUCAUCGAUUCUUGGGGUCCUCUGCUCAAUCGAUUCUCCUCUUCAGCUUCCGAUCCAUAGUUCCUUGCCUUUGUUAAGGAUGAUUCAUCUUCAAGCUUAUCUCUUUCUUUAAAGAUGUUUGGUUUGCAUGUAAGGAAUUUCGGAGGCUUCAGUUGGAUUGAUGUCGAUUUUUUCAGAAGCGGUGAUUUUCUAGAUUUGGCUCUACGGUUGAUCUAGGUUGAGAACGGUUCAGUCUUGAAUGGGUUCUCCUUGGUCUCGUCUUCGCCGUCGGCGGAGCUCCGCCGUGUAAGCUUUCUGGCACCGGAGGAAGGUGAUGUCUUGUGUUUUGACGCGUGUGCCAUUGAUUGCUGGGCAAUCGGACACGUGGUGGAUUCUGGACAUUUCCUUCCCUAACGGUUUUCGUCUAUGGGCUGAAGGCCCGAAGUUCGUUUGGUUUGUUCUGGCCCGUUGGUUUGUGGCCUUUUAAUGUUUGGCCGUUUGUUUGGCCUUAGUUUGUAAAGUUUGUUGGGCUUUGCCUUUUGGGCUUUGUCCCUUUUAAUAAAAUUCCAGAUGACAAAAAAAAAAAAAAACCUUAGAAAUUAUUUAUUUAAUUUGAGAUUAUGAUAUCUAACUUUUCCAUUUUGAAAACACACAUACGUUGUAGCUUUUGUCUUUUGGCAACUUACCAAAUUAGGAUUCAAGUACGACAGAUUUUAUAUCAAAAAUAGAAUUUUAAUUAUUCUUUCAUCGGCCAACUUGUUAUAUGAUAAGGAUUUUUUUGUAUUUUUGCCGGUUGUACAAUGAUGACUUCUAUAAAAUGAUUGGGAGUAGCACAAAUGUCAGUAAGAACAUUCAUCCAUUGUCGUUGACCUAAUAUUCCAAAUUGACUGAAAAUUUAAAACCUUUAAAUCAAAACAUCCACAAAGGAAGGAGGGCUCAUACGAAAAAUCAUCACUUUAAAUAUAAAAUUGAGUUUUUUUUUAUUUUUUCGCAGCAUCAAAACGGUGCAAGAAGUAGACAAUCAAAGAUCAUUACACGAGAGUAAUUAAUAGGGAGUGUAAUGAAUACCGAAGAAGAAGAAGUAAGAGGGUAUAUGAAGAAGUUGCAGGCGGAGAUGAGGACGAUGAAGACGAAGAAGAAAGAGAAGAAUGGGUGGAAGAAGGAGACGAAGUCGUUUCAGACAAAGAGAGAUUUAUAAAAGAAAGGAUUUUUGAGACGAAAAUUGAGAAACUGUCUCUCCGUGCCGCCCGGGUCGGGUCCACCCACCCCUCUUUACUUACUGCCGUCCCAUCUCUCUAAUUCUUUUUGCGUUCGUUAGUUAAUAUUAAAAUCAAUUAGUUUACCCUAAUUAUUAUAUUUAUUGCUUUACAUUAUUUACACACAAAAUAAUAACUUUGCCGUAUACUGUCUGAAAAAAUCAUAAACAUGUUGUGAAAAUUAAAUUAUUCUCUUAUUUUUCACAUGUAUUUAAAAAAUAAAAACCUUAGACAUUAUUUAUUAAUUUAAUUUGAGAUUAUGAUAUCUAACUAUUCCAUUUUGAAAACAUACAUGCGUUGUAGCUUUUAUGUCGUUUGGCAACUCACCUAAUUCGGAUUCAAGUAUGUGUAUGACAGAUUUUAUAUCAAAACAGAAUGUUUUCUUAAUUAUUCUUUCAUCGGCCAACUCUUUAUAUUAUAAGGAAUUUUGUAUGUUAGUCAGUUUAGUGAUGAGUUCUAUAAAAUGAUUCGGAUUAACACAAAUAUUGAAAGAAAGAAAGAAAGAAAAGAAGAAAAACAUGUGCAACUGUGUAAGAGUAAAAAAAGACCCGUGAGACCAUGAGGGAGAGACAUUAUGUACCGUCUAGAUACUGAGCCACGUUCUUUAUCACAAAAAGGCUAGAUACUGAGUCACGUUCUUUAUCACAAUUUUCAUCAUUAAGAUGAGAUGUUUUGAGUGUGUGCUCUGUUCCGUGGUGUCUGGUUAAGCAGCUAAACACUAAGCAUGUACCUCUGAAUUUAAGAAUACUUGUUACUCAUACUCAAUUGGAUAUAGAGUAGAUAACAAAUAUGUUGCACUCAAAUUCAUUUUGUCAUUCGAAGUUCGACCAAGGGAAUGCAUUCAAAAGAAAGUUAACCGAAUGAGGAAGUUGAUCAACCUAAUAUUUAAGUAAAUAACAUAUGAGGAUCAUACUUUCUGUAUGAUCUCUGGUUUCGCAGACAUUUGUAAAACCUCUGCAUCCGCAACCUGAACAUCUUUCCCGAGAACCGUCACGUCAGCAACACGAGCCCAACUUCCAACGGUCGAGUCCCACCCCACGAUACUAUCAGACACACAAGCAUGCUCCUUGAUCCUCACACCUCUCAUCACAGUGCAACCAAACAACCUCACACCAGGUUCAAUCACGCAUCCUGCACCAAUCACCACGUCAGGUCCUAUCAAGCAUCGCUCCCCUAUCACCGCGGUCUCAUCCGCCAUAACGUUCCCGAUCACUCCAUCUCCCGACGUCACUAAAAGCUCCCCAGGCGCAUUCUUUCUCAGAUAGUUGAGGUACAUUCUCUGCCCUGUCAAAUAAUCUUUCGGCUGACCAAUGUCCAUCCAGAAACCUGGUAGCACCAUGGCGUAAAGCUUCUUCUCCGAAGCGAUCUUGGGGAAUAUCUCUUUCUCUAUCGACGUCCGUCUGAGCUCGAUCCUGUCGAGCACAGACGGGUUCAAGAGGUAUAUCCCAGCGUUGAUCUUGUCCCCGACAAAAUGUUUUGGUUUCUCGACGAAACUUUCGACUCUUGCUUCUUCUUUCUCCAUAACCACCACACCGUACUUUGAAGGAUCUUCUACUUUGGUCACCAUGAUGGAAGCUUCAGCGCCGUGGUUCUUGUGGAAUUGGAUCAUCUCGAGGAGUGGAUAUUCGCAGAUAACAUCGCUGUUGAGCACGAAAAAGGGUUUGCCUGAUUCGUCGAUAAGCUUGUCCCGAGCCAAGGCGAGUGGCCCUGCUGUCCCGAGGGGUUCGGUUUCUUGAGAGAAGGUGAUCUUCAUAUCAAGCUUCUUCUCAUAUUCUUUCACAAAAUUCAACAUGAC